UUAGUUCCAAACAUCUAAAAUUGCUUUUAAAUCAACCAGACUUAUAGCAAACCAGCAGGAUUCAUGCAGGAAAAUCACAAUGAUGCAUGUAGCCAGAAUCAGCAGUCACAAAAAUAAACAAGCCAUUACCAGUUACAAAUCCAAAACAAGCCACUCAGUAGACAUAAAGCCAUGAGUGAAAACACAUACUACCCACCAUUCAGUUUAUAACUACUAACAUCAGAUAAUGACAACAGUAAAUGUCUCCAGUGGACUUUAAGUACCAGUUCCACAUGUUAUGUUGCCAACAUCUCAAAUCUUCAACGUCUUUCCACUCGCACCGAACUCUCUUGCUUCUAUCUCUCUCUGGCCAAAAAAAAAAAAACAGAGAUGUCUGUCAAAAACAAUACUUUUAACAUGACCGUAUGUCAGGUUACCUAAAAAUAAUUUUAAAAAGGAACAAGUGCAAGGUUGAGUACAUAUGCAGUGAUAUCAAUUAAUUGGGCAAAACCAAUAAAAUGUCUAGGCUCAGUCCAGGAUGCUGUGAAUUAAAAUUGUUGAAGCAGCUAUAUUUGUCAAAGGUACAUUUUGGUAUUUUUGACAUCUUCAAUUCAGACACUUUGCAGUGUUCAGCUCUGGUUUGAAAUUAUGCUUCAUCUGCUAUGUUCAUUUUUGAAUGCACUUGACUCGUGCAAUUCCAAGUUCAGAAACAAACUACAGGUACGCUGUUAUAUUCACCAAAUGCCCAGGUCAUCAAAUCUUAAAGUGGAGAGGUGAAGCUAAUGAUAACACUAUCUCUAUCAAGUAAAAAAGGAAGAAGAAAAAACAGGAUUGAAACAUGCAAAGGAGUGUCAUCAUGAUGUGCAAGUCCUAAUAUGACAAGGGGGCAGAGUAAUUUUGUAGUAAAAAAGAAUGAUUUCAGAAUCAUGACUGCGGAUGAGCAUCAAUAUCAGGCAUCUACUCUUAAACCUGGUGAGGUGGCCAAAUCUCCUUUUCAAUUAGCAAGUAUGAAGCAAAGUGGAUGUGAUACUGAUAAACAAGCAUUAGAAUGUUAAAUCAUUUUAAAACCUAGGCAUAAUUACAGUAGCACAGAAAUGAAAGCAUGUUCAGUGAUGGCGAAUAUAAAUAAAAUGACAGUAGUAUGCAAAUGAAACUAUGCUUAGUGGUGGUGGUAGUACCGGUCAAUCCUGUAAAUGCUGUCGGUACGCACUGAACUCGCUGGCAAAGAGUUGGUAACAAAUACGCCUUGUAGGCUGUGGAGAGAUCUGGAUCUCGUUACUCUUCAUGUCAACACGAAGCAAAUACUGGCCUUUAUGAUCUAGUCGAUGGUCCACGAUGCUUUCAUCAUUCACGACCAAGUAGACAACCCCGUCUUCAUGGAUGCUCAGGACAGGAAGAGACGGAAUAAGCUGUCUCAAAACAGUAGACUGAUAGUUGACGUUUGCCCAGAUUUUAUCAACAUUGUACUUGGAGGUUUCGAUCCAGUCUGAGUGAUCAGUCAACAGAGUCCAGACCGAGAGUUCCAAUCCAGAUUCAUCCAAGGAGACAAGCUUGAUGUGGUCACAAACACAGGCCAUGGAACGGAACUCCUCUGGGCGGGUGCAGAACUUGUUGAUAAAGCUGGACUCCUCUAAGUUGCAAUCCAGGGCUGGACAGUCUAGUGGCAGCUUGAUAAAGCUGAACUUGUUGUCGCAGUCUUGGUUGAGAUCACAGAGGAACAUGCCUUUGAGCAGAUCCACCCAGCAAAGGGUAGAGCCCCGGUAAGAGAAGCACAAGUCAACGGUGAAUCUGCUGGAUGGAAGGGGAUGGCUCCCGGGUAACGAGACCCAUUCUGGUUGUGGGGCGGACGACUUCCACAGCCAGACCCCGGCCUGGGAGAAUCCUUUCUUGAUGAGCUCGGCAAGAACGUAGCCCUCCCCUUGGGCGUCGCACAUGACGACGGCCGACUGGUGCCCCAUGACUCCAUGCAAGUCGUCGGAGGGGAGACGGGGGAUGACGGAGAGGGAGUCCUUCCUGGCGUCGUAGAUGAGAUAGCCUCCCGACAAACUAGAGCCAGGGCGGUACCCGCCGGCGUAAAGGGCGACCAGGUUCUUGUCCGUGCUGGAGAUGCGGCCCGAGUCCAGGUCCAUGAAUGGAGGCGGGAGCGGGAGGGAUUGCGGCGGCACCAGUAUGUGGAGGAAGGAGAGCUCCGGCGGAUUGUCGACGACUGCGCGGGCCUUGAAGGUCCGCAGGUACUUGAUGACUUCAUCACUCCUGGCUUCGCGGGUUUGUAGUCCUCUUCCUUCCCAGAAUCCCCACCGGAACUGUCGGCCGGAUAGCGCCUCAUCGUGGGGGGUGAAAUCAAUCUCGCGGUCGAGCAGAACCAUGGAACGGGCCAUGGCGGCUAGCUAGCUUUGGAUUAGGGUUUGGUGGAGGGAGAAGGGAUUUGGGGAUCGAUGGUGGUGGCGCGGCUAGGGUUAGGGUUAGGGUUGGGUUGUGGAAGCAGCAGGCAGCGAUUUGAUUUGGGGAUCGAGCGAGGAAGGAGAAGCCGGGUUGGGCUUUUGCCCAGAUCUAAAAUAGCAGGCGUGAAGGGGGAGACGGGACUCGCCCGGAUCGCUGAUCGGUCAGCGGACGGUGGAUAUGUUAUCGCGGCAGACACACGAGGAGGGCCUGCAGUUCGGCCCAAGUUUUAGCCUGUCAUCAUCAUUUAGCAAAAAACCGCACGUUGGGCGCCGGUCGGCAAAAUAAAAAUCACCAACAAAGUCAAUGUAGAAAAAUCUACUAAAAAAUCAAUGUAGCAAAAAAAAAUUAACUAGCAAGUUCCAGCAAAACAUAAAGCUGGUUCUAGCAAAACCACAUCGGCGGUGGGAGGCGCAUCCAGUUCGAGCAGAAAUCACAGGAAGCAAAUCUCCAUCUCCAUUUCCAUCCAUCCAUCCACUACUAUUAAACAAGCGAGUUGAGGCAGAAACAUUAGAUCUCAGCCACAUAUCCACCAUUCAUCAAUGGACCAGAUUGUCCCGAUGUUGUAUCACAACAUUCACAUAUUUAUUAAUUAAUUUUAGUCAUCACCACAACACGUUUAACUACGAAUCAUUGCGCUACCUUCAUUAGGAGACAAAUCAUCACAUCAUAUAUCAUAUCAUUUUUAGAACACCUAAAUUAGGAAUCAAUGUACCUUAAUUACACGUUCAUUAGGAAAUAAAUCGUGACACCACAUAUCCUGUAAUUGGAAAAUAAAAUAUUAGCCAAAAGAUCAGAGCUAAAUAUAUAUAUAUAUAUAUAUAGUAUAUUUUUUAUAGUCCAGCCAGCCUUGUUUUUUGAUUUCCAGCCCAACCGCUGUUUGUUGUGUUUUUUUAUUGUCCACCCCAGUUUUGGGAAAAAGGCAGAAAAAUUCGGCGCACCUAACGAGAAUAGAACUCUCAACCAUCUUGCACCUAAACGCAUCCACUGGAACUAAUGAAUGCUGGUGGUAAAAGAUCAACGCGAAUAUUUAAGAACUCAAUGCUGCAUGAAACCUUGUCUGAACAAUUUAUUGAAAAAUUGUGAAUAAUUUUGAAAAUGCCGCUUUUUUUAAAACAGAAGGAAUUUUUGGAACUCCAAGUUUUUUUUGAAAAUUCUUAACAAAAAUAUAAUUCCAAACACUUUUUGAAACAUGAGAAGUUUGGGAAAUGCGAACAAUUUUUUAUAUCCUGAAAAUACUUUUAAAUGUGAACAAUUUUGAAAAUUCUGGACUUUUCUGAAAACACGGACAAAUUUUGAAAAUGGACACAUUUCUUGAAAUUCCCAAAAAAAUCAAAAAAAAAUGAAAUGUUUUACGAAAACAUGAACACCUUUUGAAUUUGUGAAUAAUUUUUUAAAAAUAGGAGCAUGUUUCAAACAUUCAGAGCAUUUCUUAUAAACAAACUAAAGUUUUGUAGUGUAGGAUGAACUUUUUAUAUAUACAAUAAACAUUUUCUUUAACAAACUGAACAUUUUUUAGUGUACUGUGAACCUUUUUAAUUUUCUAGCGUGUACUUGUAUGCGCUGAUUGUCAUGCAAGCCUUUUAUGCCUUGCGUUGGAUAUGUGCAUGUGCUAGUACGUACCUUGAUAUGCACAAAACAUGCAAAGCUCAUCGAAGGAUCAGCUAAUGCAUGUACUGGUGUGAUGACAUGCUUCCUUCCCUAUGUAUCCUACCCAUAACAAAUAACUUCCACAUUCAACAAAUGAAUUGUAGGGCUUAGUCACGUAAGAGGCAAAAAAAAAAAUCAGCCCCAUUUACGAGUCGAUAGUGGACUUGCAACCGAGGAAACAAAUGUAGGCUCAGUUGUGAGUCAAAUAAUGGAGUUGCAAACUAGGGAAAAAAGGUCAAAGAGCCCAAUUGCAUGUUAAUGGUGGACAACUCUGGCAAAUAAAAGGGUCAACCCAGUUGCAAGUCGAUGUUGGACUUGCAAUUGGGUAAAAAACGUCGGGCCGAAUUGCAAGUCAAGGGUGGACUUACAAAUAGGGCAAAAAAGGGAUGAAGGGCCCAAUUACGAGUCGAUGUUGAACUUGCAAUUGGGUAAAAAACGUCGGGCUGAAUUGCAAGUCAAGGGUGAACUUACAACUAGGGCAAAAAAAGGAUGAAGGGCCCAGUUAUGAGUCGAUGUUGGACUUGCAAUUGAGUGGCCGAAUUGCAAGUCAAGGGUGGACUUACAACUAGGGCCAAAAAAGGAUGAAGAGCCCAGUUGCAUGUUAACAGAGGACUUGCAAUUAGGUUGAAAAAAAAGGCCCGGGCCUAGUUACAAGUCGUUGGUUGACUUGCAACUGCGGUAAAGAAAAGGAUCAAGAGCCCAGUUUGAGCCGAUGGUUGUCUUGUAAUUGGGAUAAAAAAGGGGUGGGCCUAGUUGCGAGUCGAUGGUUCACUUGAGAUUGGGACAAAAAAAGUCAACACCUAGUUGCGAGUCAAGAGUGGACUUGCAACUAGGGCAAAAAGGAUCAAGGGUCCAGUUGCAUGUCAGUGGACUUGAGAUUGGGACAAAAAAAGUCAACACCUAGUUGCGAGUCAAGAGUGGACUUGCAACUAGGGCAAAAAGGAUCAAGGGUCCAGUUGCAUGUCAGUGGAGAACUUGCAAAUGGGACGAAAGAAGGCUCGAGCCCAGUUGCAAGUAGUUGGCUGAGUUGCAACCACGGAAAAGAAAAGGAUCGAGAGCCCAUCUUUGAGUUAAUGGUUAAAAUAGGAGCGGUCCCAGUUGCGAGUCGAUGUUAACUUGCAAACUGUGACCCAAAAAAAUCAACACCUAGUUACGAGUCAAUGGUGGACUUGCAACUGAGGAAAAAAAAUCAGACCUAGUUGCACGUUAAGGUGGACUUGCAACUAAUGCAAAAAAAAGACUCGAACCUAAUUAUAAAAUAGAAGAAACAUCAAACCGGUUGCGAGUGAAGGGUGGACUUGUAACUGGAUGAAAGGAUCGAUAUAGUUGACUAGAGGGAGGGGGUGAAUAGGCAACUAACAUUUUUUAGCUUUUCUUUACCAAUUUAAACUUUGCAUCAAAGUAGGUUGUCUAGAUGUGCAACUAGGUGAGCAACCUAUAUGAUGUAACAACAACAAGUACACAAGCAAGUAAGAGAUGCAACACAAUAUAAGCUUGCACAAGUAGAGGUACGAGAUAACCAAGAGUGGAGCCGGUGAAGACGAGGAUGUGUUACCGAAGUUCCUUCCUUUUGAGGGGAAGUACGUCUCCAUUGGAGCGGUGUGGAGGCACAAUGCACCCCAAGAAGCCACUAGGGCCACCGUAUUCUCCUCACGCCCUCACACAAUGCGAGAUGACGUGAUUUCACUAUUGGUGCCCUUGAAGGCGGCGACCGGACCUUUACAAACAAGGUUGGAGCAAUGUCCACAACUUAAUUGAAGGCUCCCAAAGACACCACGAAGCUUCACCAUAAUGGAAUAUGGCUCCGCAGGUGACCUCAACCGUCUAGGGUGCUCAAACACCCAAGAGUAACAAGAUUCGCAAGGGAUUAGUGGGGGGAAUCAAAUUUCUCUUGGUGGAAGUGCAGACCAGUGCCUCCUCAACCAAUCCCUAGAAAAUUAACAAGUUUGAUUGGCUAGGGAGAGAGAUCAGGCGAAAAUGAAGCUUAGAGCAACAAUGGAGCUUGGGAGUGGAAGAUGUGGUUAACUUGGAGAAGAAGACUCCCCUUUUAUAGUGAAAGAACAAAUCCAACCGUUAUCUACUAACUCAGCCCGCGACGAGCGGUACUAGCACACGAUACAAGCGGUACUACCGCAAGGGCCCGCGGUACUACCACGAGGCUGUUGGAAAUAUUCCCUAGAGGCAAUAAUAAAUUAGUUAUUAUUAUAUUUCCUUCUUCAUGAUAAUCGUUUAUUACCCAUGCUAUAAUUGUAUUGAUAGGAAACUCAGAUACAUGUGUGGGUACAUAAACAACACCAUGUCCCUAGUAAGCCUCUAGUUGACUAGCUCGUUGAUCAACAGAUGGUUACGGUUUCCUGACCAUGGACAUUGGAUGUCGUUGAUAACGGGAUCACAUCAUUAGGAGAAUGAUGUGAUGGACAAGACCCAAUCCUAAGCCUAGCACAAAGAUCGUAGUUCGUAUGCUAAAGCUUUUCUAAUGUCAAGUAUCAUUUCCUUAGACCAUGAGAUUGUGCAACUCCCGGAUACCGUAGGAAUGCUUUGGAUGUACCAAACAUCACAACGUAACUGGGUGGCUAUAAAGGUUCAUUACAGGUAUCUCCGAAAGUAUCUGUUGGGUUGGCACGAAUCGAGACUGGGAUUUGUCACUCCGGUUAACGGAGAGGUAUCUCUGGGCCCACUCGGUAGGACAUCAUCAUAAUGUGCACAAUGCGACCAAGGGGUUGAUCACGGGAUGAUGUGUUACGGAACGAGUAAACAGACUUGCCGGUAACGAGAUUGAAUAAGGUAUCGGGAUACCGACGAUCGAAUCUCGGGCAAGUACAAUAUCGCUAGACAAAGGGAAUUGAAUACGGGAUUGAUUGAAUCCUCGACAUCAUGGUUCAUCCGAUGAGAUCAUCGUGGAACAUGUGGGAGACAACAUGGGUAUCCAGAUCCCGCUGUUGGUUAUUGACCGGAGAACCUCUCGGUCAUGUCUGCAUGGUUCCCGAACCCGUAGGGUCUACACACUUAAGGUUCGGUGACGCUAGGGUUAUAGGAAAUAGAUAUACGUGGUUACCGAAUGUAGUUCGGAGUCCCGGAUGAGAUCUCGGGCGUCACGAGGAGUUCCGAAAUGAUCUGGAGGUAAAGAUUGAUAUAUUGGACGAAGGGUUUUGGAGUCCGAAAGUGUUCCGGAGGUACCAGGUGAUGACCAGCAUGACCGAAAGGUGUUUCGGGAGCCCCGACAAGUGUUUGGGGGCUUCAUGGGCCAAGGGAAGGGGGAAAACCAGCCCACUAAGGGGCUGUGCGCCCCCCCACCUAUUCCCACGUGACCAGGGGGUUUGGGGCGCCCCAUCUAGGGUUCCCACCUCCUGGCUUGGGGGCCAAGUCACCCAAGGGGGAGAUCCCAUCUGCCCUGGCCGCCGCCCCCCCUAGGGGAAACCCUAGGGCGCCUCCCCUCCCCUUUGCCCCUAUAUAUAGUGGAGGUUUUGGGGCUGCCUAACACACGAGUUUCUCUCCCUCUUGGCGCAGCCUUACCUCUCUCCCUUCUCCUCUCCCGCGGUGCUUGGCGAAGCCCUGCAGGAUUGCCACGCUCCUCCAUCACCACCACGCCAUUGUGCUGCUGCUGGACGGAGUCUUCCUCAACCUCUCCCUCUCUCCUUACUGGAUCAAGGCGUGGGAGACGUCACCGGGCAUUGGCUGCGUGCGUAUCGUACGUCGCGUGGUUGCCGGUUCUGGCGAUCAUGAUGGGAUGUGGCUCCUGCAUGCUCUGCCGAUGAUGGGAGUUGGGGAUAGGAAAAGCAGGCCGAGAUUCGAGGAAAAUGUGUGUAGAGAGAGAGGAGAGAGAGAGAGGGGAGGGGCUGACUUGGUUUGCCGGUUUGAGACACGCAAGAGUUGUACCGCUCCGGUAAACAGGCGUACCACCUUCCGUCUACACUAGGACCCGUUCCCACUUUUGACUGGGAUGACCGCGUACGUCUGUGUGCGUGACCCCUCUGUGUAGUGUGUCACGGGCGCACUCUUCUUCUUUUUUUUGUAUCACGGGUGCACAUAUGGAUAAGCGUUUGUUUGCUUAUCCAUUUUCUCCUUUGAGCAAAUGAGAUGAGAAAAUUGGAGUUAAAAAACCUCUGAAAAAGUAAGAUUUACUAAAUGCCAGAGAUUAUAUAGUAGUAUUAGAUAAAAAAGAAAUAAAAGUACGUAUCUCGGAAACUAACCUAAGUUAUUUGGCUCUUUCAUUAAGCCUUCAAAGGUGCCUAACCUGUAGUGCCUACUAUAGUUUUAGAAAGUUUACAUGCAUGAUUCUUUUGUGCAUUACUAGUUUUUGCAUUACAUUAACUGGACACCGUUUUCUUAUGCAAAGAAGAAAUGAAAGCCGAAGAUUAGACAAAAAAUAUAUUUAAAGUAUGUAUUCUAAAAACUAGCCUACAUUAUUUUGUUUUCCGUUAAAGGCUUCGAACACGGUUAAUAUGGAAUACUUAGUGUGUUUUUUUUGAAAGUUUAUGUUAUUCUUUUUGCAUCACACCAGUUUUUCUUUGUUAAAAGGACGUACAAUGUGAAAAAUAUAUUUCUUUGUAACAAAAUCAGCAGAGAGGGACCCAGGUUUGUAUUCUUGUUUUUCUUUACUUUCUUUUCUGAAAGAGGCAUCACACCCCUCUAAAAUAAACCAAAAAAUACACCAAUGUCCCUAGGGUCUGAUUCUCUUCUUCCUCGAGAACAGGCUGAUGGCGCGCCACCCCUGAUGCCUCUCCAUCGGCACAGCCAGCUCGUCAUUGUAGAUUGCGUGCGGCAAGCCAUCAAGGCCUACAUGACCAAUGCUUUCGAUAAAACAAACGUCGAAGCAUUCGCCGCCGGAAGAUCCACACAUCCAAGAUCACAACCUUUGAAAAUAAGUUCUCACGCCUCAUGAUAACACCGGAGCCCUCACCAAUGUGACGAAGAGGAAUCCGAAUGGCCAAAUUGCAAAGGGGAGCUGCCAUCACCGCCACACCAACAAACUUACAAAUGGUGAGGACAUGGACAAAACGUCCCAAAUGACAGAGACAACUAAGGACGAAAUGUAGUAGACGACCCAUGCGACAAAGGACGAGGCAUUCAAUACAAUGUAGGGCACCGACUUCUGCACCGUGAGAGCAAGGACCAGGCCGGCGGCUUCCUCGGUGAGAAGACGGAGGUGAUAAGUACUCCCUCCGUCCAAAAACGGAUGGAGUAGAAGGAAUGCUAAAAAGAGUAAUUCGUACAUGAACUUGCACGGUGGGUACAUAGUCAUACGACAACUUAGGAAAGACACAAGUUGAUCAUGUAACUUGAUGUUCGGGAACACUUGGGCAGAUUUCCGUCGCUCCUGUUUUGUUGAUUCCACCUACAUGGCAUGCCACCGUGGUAGCAAGUCCCACAUGUUUGUGGGGGAGAGAAAGAGAUAGAAAAUAAAAUGGUGUGCCACACGGAUUGGACACGCGCGGGCUAAUCAACCCAACCGAAGAAUGUUGUCACCGUAUAUAGAGAUGGAUUAUUUUCUACUCCCUCCGUACAGAAUUACUCAUGAAAUGGAUGUGUCUAUAACUAAAAUAUGUCUAGAUACAUCCAUUUCUCCAACAAAUAUUUCCGGACGGAGGUCCUUUCCACAAUACAUGUGCAAAUACACUUGUUAGUGGGCGUGAUUUUUUUUCCAUCCGAUCAAAAAAUGGAUUGUAUCCCACUACCAGAAAGGUAACAGAACGAAAGAAAGAAGAAAGCAUCCAAGUUGCAACAAACCAACAAACUCAAACGCUGCAUAAGUUUUGCUGUGUGUAGAUAUAAGUCUAUCGCGUCGAGUGGUACGCCACAAUGUGAGUCGCUAGGUGAGCAGCGUCGUUGAUGGGGAGGAGGACAUGCUCGAUAAGAUGCUCUGUGCUUUCAUGCAAGAGGGUCUUCGUCUCCCCUGCUGGGGAGGUCACCGGGGAGCGGUUGAUAACAUCGUCCUUAAGUAAUGAACAUAGCUUGUUCCCCUUCUUCAGGAAUUUCCUCUUGUAUUUUUCGAAUAGUUUCUUCUGCAUUAGAAGUUUGCUCUCCCAAUUAUUGUUGCAUUAAGUGAACAUUAGGAAUGAGCUUGCAUGUAUGACCAUGCAUCCACUUGUCUCCAUACCUCCAACAUUCUCCUACUUUCCCGAGUUUCUGAAAUGUGCCAGUAGUGCUUUCGGUUUGUUUGACAGGUAUACUCUAUUGUAUAUGUGUUGUUGUGUUACUAUUUUUGAUCUAGAAACUUCCAUUGUUCUUUUGAUAAUAAUUGACAUAAGGACCGAUUUGCUUCUUAGGGAUUGCACUAACUAUAGGUUAGUUAGGUUCCACUUCCUUGGCUAGACAAUAAGCACCAGUCAGUGAUUGUGGCCUUAAUGGUCUAACCUGGAAUUUAAUUCCCCCCCUUAAAUCAUUCACAUAACACCUGACAAACUACAAUUCUCCCAGCUCAGCAUUUUCUUCCAGCACAUCUUCCAUUAGCCCUUCAAAGGUUUCAGUUAAGUCAUAAGAGCCUUGCUCUGAAAAUAUCCUCACCAUCUCAACUCCAAACUAUUUCAAGGAGAGUUGUUUCUUCGAUUUCCCAUGUCUUCUCAAUCAUAUAUCAGCUUCAUCAGUGACAUACAUUUGAGCAAGAGAUACAUUUAACUCCUCAGGUGCAACAAACAUCCAAAAAUAUUUAUUACAUUGCCUUAUCUAGCCUACUAGAUAUUCCACAGAAAAUAUAGUUUGGGACUUUUAGUUAAGGAUUUCAUGAACCGUGCUUGCACCUCUCGUACAUAUGUUCUACAGUACCAUUGCCAUAGUUGCAUGUCUUUGUUCUAUUGAUAAAAUUGAUUGAAUGCAGGAGUGUGUACAUUGUUUCUUGCAGUAACUAGGUUUCCUGCCACACUAUUAGUGUCCUGUCUCACUUGGAUGGGAAACCCAGGAGGCGUUGUUGCCCUGUUAGUUCUAAUAGGUGGCCAAUUCUGCACUUCUAAGUUCUCCAAUUGCUUAGACGUUUCGUUCUCUGCUGCUAAUUGCUUCCUCAACCGAUUCACUCUUUCAACUUUUUCAUGUGUUUGCUCAUGAUGCAAGGUAGGAGAUCUGAGCACUUGAGUCGAACUGGAAGGGUUAUCACUUUGAGGCAUGUUCUACAUUGUUUUCACCAAUGUGUGAAGAACAGAAUUGAUAGCUGAAAGUUGCUUACUAAAGUCCAAAAGUACUUUCUCUACAUACCCAACUUGUAAUGAAAUUCCUCCCUGCUUGGAACUUAUCGACUGUGCUUCCUCUUUGUAAUUUAGACACCUGAGUUUGCAUUUGGGCACUAUCUUUUAGCAGAACACCAAAAUCAUCGCGCAAGGAUAGAACCUCUUGAAGAUCCACCUCAUCGAUUGCUUUUGCGCGUCCCAUCCCCUUGAUCUGAGGUGUAGGUUAGGAAUUUUACCACUAGGAAUCACCUAGCAACCAUCCCUAAACCUCUGAUCCUGCCGCCAUCGAGAUCCAUGCCUCCCUGGCACACGGAUCAGUGCCUGAACGUGGGAUUUUACUGCUCGAGCAGAGUACUCGAACAACCACCUCUGCUCUACUGAUCCAUGCCCGAACUCUCACCGACUCGAGCGCCUCCACACCGCCACCCCGAACCUCAACCCCUCCGUCGACGCCGCCCGAUACACCUGUUGGGUUUCGUAGUAAUUUCAAAAAUUUUCCUACGCACACGCAAGAUCAGGUGAUGCAUAGCAACGAGGGGAGAGUAUUGUCCACGUACCCAACGCAGACCGACUGCGGAAGCGAUGACACGACGUAGAGGAAGUAGUCGUAUGUCUUCUCGAUCCAACCGAUCAAGCACCGAAACUACGGCACCUCCGAGUUCGAGCACACGUUCAGCUCGAUGACGAUCCCCGGACUCCGAUCCAGCAAAGUGUCGGGGAAGAGUUUCGUCAGCACGACGGCGUGGUGACGAUCUUGAUGAACUACAGCAGCAGGGCUUCGCCUAAACUCCGCUACAGUAUUAUCGAGGAAUAUGGUGGCAGGGGGCACCGCACACGGCUAAAGAAUAGAUCACGUGGAUCAACUUGUGUCAACUUGUAUGUUUUGGGGUGCCUCUACCUCAGUAUAUAAAGGAGCCAAGGGGGGAGAGGGGCGCCGGCCAAGGAGGAGGGCGCAGGAGGAGUCCUACUCCUACCGGGAGUAGGACUCCCCCCCAAUCCUAUUCCAACUAGGAUUCCCAAGGGGGAAAGAGGGAGAGGGGUGGCCGGCCACCUCUCCUAGUCCUAAUAGGACUAGGGGAAGGUGGGAGGCGCGCAGCCCCCUUGGGCUGCCCCUUUCUCCUUUCCACUAAGGCCCAUGAUGGCCCAUAUGGCUCCCGGGGGGUUCCGGUAACCUCCCGGUAACCCGGUAAAAUCCCGAUUUCACCCGGAACACUUCCGAUGUCCAAACAUAGGCUUCCAAUAUAUUAAUCUUUAUGUCUCGACCAUUUCGAGACUCCUCGUCAUGUCCGUGAUCACAUCCGGGACUCCGAACAACCUUCGGUACAUCAAAAUGCAUAAACUCAUAAUAUAACUGUCAUCGUAACCUUAAGCGUGCGGACCCUACGGGUUCGAGAACAAUGUAGACAUGACCGAGACACGUCUCCGGUCAAUAACCAAUAGCGGGACCUGGAUGCCCAUAUUGGCUCCUACAUAUUCUACAAAGAUCUUUAUCGGUCAGACCGCAUAACAACACACGUUGUUCCCUUUGUCAUCGGUAUGUUACUUGCCCGAGAUUCGAUCGUCGGUAUCCAAUACCUAGUUCAAUCUCGUUACCGGCAAGUCUCUUUACUCGUUCCGUAAUACAUCAUCUCACAACUAACAUAUUAGUUGUAAUGCUUGCAAGGCUUAUGUGAUGUGUAUUACCGAGAGGGCCCAGAGAUACCUCUCCGACAAUCGGAGUGACAAAUCCUAAUCUCGAAAUACGCCAACCCAACAUCGACCAUUGGAGACACCUGUAGUACUCCUUUAUAAUCACCCAGUUACGUUGUGACGUUUGGUAGUACCCAAAGUGUUCCUCCGGUAAACGGGAGUUGCAUAAUCUCAUAGUCAUAGGAACAUGUAUAAGUCAUGAAGAAAGCAAUAGCAACAUACUAAACGAUCGUGUGCUAAGCUAAUGGAAUGGGUCAUGUCAAUCAGAUCAUUCAACUAAUGAUGUGACCUCGUUAAUCAAAUAACAACUCAUUGUUCAUGGUUAGGAAACAUAACCAUCUUUGAUUAACGAGCUAGUCAAGUAGAGGCAUACUAGUGACACUUUGUUUGUCUAUGUAUUCACACAUGUAUUAUGUUUCCGGUUAAUACAAUUCUAGCAUGAAUAAUAAACAUUUAUCAUGAAAUAAGGAAAUAAAUAAUAACUUUAUUAUUGCCUCUAGGGCAUAUUUCCUUCAGUCUCCCACUUGCACUAGAGUCAAUAAUCUAGUUCACAUCGUCAUGUGAUUUAAUAGCAAUAGUUCACAUCACCAUGUGAUUAACACCCAUAGUUCACAUCGAUAUGUGAUCAACACCCAAAGGGUUUACUAGAGUCAGUAAUCUAGUUCACAUCGCUAUGUGAUUAACACCCAAAGAGUACUAAGGUGUGAUCAUGUUUUGCUUGUGAGAUAAUUUUAGUCAACGGGUCUGUCACAUACAGAUCUGUAAGUAUUUUGCGAAUUUCUAUGUCAACAAUGCUCUGCACGGAGCUAUUCUAGCUAAUUGCUCCCACUUUCAAUAUGUAUCCAGAUUGAGACUUAGAAUCAUCUGGAUCAGUGUCAAAAACUUGCAUCGACGUAACCCUUUACGAAGAACCUUUUUGUCACGUCCAUAAUCGAGAAACAUAUCCUUAUUCCACUAAGGAUAAUUUUGACCGCUGUCCAGUGAUCUACUCCUAGAUCACUAUUGUACUCCCUUGCCAAACUCAGUGGUAGGGCAUACAAUAGAUCUGGUAUACAGCAUGGCAUAUUUUAUAGAACCUAAGACUGAGGCAUAGGGAAUGACUUUCAUUCUCUUUCUAUCUUCUGUUGUGGUCAGGCUUUGAGUUUUACUCAACUUCACACCUUGUAACACAGGCAAGAAACCUUUUUCUUUGACUGUUCCAUUUUGAACUACUUCAAAAUCUUGUCAAGGUAUGUACUCAUUGAAAACUUAUCAAGUGUCUUGAUCUAUCUCUAUAGAUCUUGAUACUUAAUAUGUAAGCAGCUUCACCGAGGUCUUUCUUUGAAAAACUCCUUUCAAACACUCCUUUAUGCUUUGCAGAAUAAUUCUACAUUAUUUCCGAUCAACAAUAUGUCAUUCACAUAUACUUAUCAGAAAUGUUGUAGUGCUCCCACUCACUUUCUUGUAAAUACAGGCUUCACCGCAAGUCUGUAUAAAACCAUAUGCUUUGAUCAACUCAUCAAAGCGUAUAUUCCAACUCCAAGAUGCUUGCACCAGUCCACAGAUGGAUCGCUGGAGCUUGCAUAUUUUGUUAGCACCUUUAGGAUUGACAAAACCUUCUGGUUGUAUCAUAUACAACUCUUCUUUAAUAAAUCCAUUAAGGAAUGCAGUUUUGUUCAUCCAUUUGCCGGAUUUCAUAAAAUGCGGCAAUUGCUAACAUGAUUCCGACAGACUUAAGCAUAGAUACGAGUGAGAAACUCUCAUCGUAGUCAACACCUUGAACUUGCCGAAAACCUUUUUGCGACAAGUCGAGCUUUGUAGACAGUAACAUUACCAUCAGCGUCAGUCUUCUUCUUAAAGAUCCAUUUAUUCUCAAUUGCUUGCCGAUCAUCGGGCAAGUCAACCAAAGUCCAUACUUUGUUCUCAUACAUGGAUCCCAUCUCAGAUUUCAUGGCUUCAAGCCACUUUGCGGAAUCUGGGCUCACCAUCGCUUCUUCAUAGUUCGUAGGUUCAUCAUGAUCUAGUAGCAUGACUUCCAGAAAAGGAUUAUCGUACCACUCUGGCGCGGAUCUUACUCUGGUUGAUCUACAGGGUUUAGUAGUAUCUUGUUCUGAAGUUUCAUGAUCAUCAUCAUUGGCUUCCUCACUAACUGGUGUAGGUGUCACAGAAACAGUUUUCUGUGAUGAACUACUUUCCAGUAAGGGAGCAGGUACAGUUACCUCGUCAAGUUCUACUUUCCUCCCACUCACUUCUUUCGAGAGAAACUCCUUCUCUAGAAAUGAUCCAUUCUUAGCAACGAAUGUCUUGCCUUCGGAUCUGUGAUAGAAGGUGUACCCAACAGUUUCCUUUGGGUAUCAUAUGAAGACAUAUUUCUCCGAUUUGGGUUCGAGCUUAUCAGGUUGAAGCUUUUUGACAUAAGCAUCGCAGCCCCAAACUUUAAGAAACAACAACUUUGGUUUCUUGCCAAACCACAGUUCAUAAGGCGUCGUCUCAACGGAUUUUGAUGGUGCCCUAUUUAACGUGAAUGCAGCUGUCUUUAAUGCAUAACCCCAAAACAAUAGUGGUAAAUCGGUAAGAAACAUCAUAGGUUGCACCAUAUCCAAUAAAGUACAAUUAUGACGUUCGGACACACCAUAGUGGUGUUCCAGGUGGCAUGAGUAGUGAAACUAUUUCACAUUGUUUUUUAACUGAAGGCCAAACUCGUAACUCAAAUACUCUUCUCUACGAUCAGAUCGUAGAAACUUUAUUUUCUUGUUAUGAUGAUUUUUUCACUUCACUCUGAAAUUCUUUGAUCUUUUCAAAUGUUUCAGACUUGUGUUUCAUUAAGUAGAUAUACUCAUAUCUGCUCAAAUCAUCUGUGAAGAUCAGAAAAUAAUGAUACUUGCCACGAGCAUCAACACUCAUUGGAUUGCAUACAUCGGUAUGUAUUAUUUCCAAUAAGUCAGUAGCACGUUCCAUUGUUCUGGAGAACGGAGUUUUAGUCAUCUUGCCCAAAAGGCACGGUUCGCAAGCAUCAAAUGAUUCAUAACCAAGUGAUUCCGAAAAUCCAUCUUUAUGGAGUAUCUUCAUGCGCUUUACACCGAUAUGACCCAAACGGCAGUGCCACAAAUAAGUUGCACUAUCAUUAUUAACUUUGCAUCUUUUGGUUUCAGUAUUAUGAAUAUGUGUAUCACUACGAUCGAGAUCCAAUGAACCAUUUUUCAUUGGGUGUGUAACCAUAUAAGGUUUUAUUCAUGUAAACAGAACAACAAUUUAUUCUCUUACUUAAAUGAAUAACUGUAUUGCAAUAAACAUGAUCAAAUCAUAUUCAUGCUCAACGCCAACACCAAAUAACACUUAUUUAGUUUCAACACUAAUCCCGAAAGUAUAGGGAGUGUGCGAUGAUGAUCAUAUUAAUCUUGGAACUACUUCCAACACUCAUCGUCACUUUCCCUUCAACUAGUCUUUGUUUAUUCUGCAACUCCCGUUUCGAGUUACUAAUCUUAGCAACUGAACUAGUACAUAAUACUAAGGGGUUUGCUAUAAACACUAGUAAAGUACACAUCAAUAACAUGUAUAUCAAAUAUACUUAUGUUCACUUUGCCAUCCUUCUUAUCCGCCAAUCACUUGGGGUAGUUCCGCUUCCAGUGACCAAUCCCUUUGUAGUAGAAGCACUUAGUCUCAGGCUUAGGACCAGACUUGGGCUUCUUCACUUGAGCAGCAACUCGCUUGCCGUUCUUCUUGAAGUUCCCCUUCUUCCCUUUGCCCUUUUCUUGAAACUAGUGGUCUUGUCUACCAUCAACACUUGAUGUUUUUCUUGAUUUCUACCUUCGUCGAUUUUAGCAUCACGAAGAGCUCGGGAAUUGUUUACGUCAUCCCUUGCAUUAUAGUUCAUCACGAAGUUCUACUAACUUGGUGGUGGUGACUAGAGAAUUCUGUCAAUCACUAUCUUAUCUGGAAGAUUAUCUCCCACUUGAUUCAAGCGAUUGAAGUACCCAGACAAUCUAAGUACAUGCUCACUAGUUGAGCGAUUCUCCUCCUUCUUUUAGCUAUAGAACUUGUUGGAGACUUCAUAUCUCUCAACUCGGGUAUUUGCUUGAAAUAUUAACUUCAACUCCAGGAACAUCUCAUAUGGUCCAUGACGUUCAAAACGUCUUUGAAGUCCCGAUUCUAAGCUGUUUAAGCAUGGUGCACUAAACUAUCAAGUAGUCAUCAUAUUGAGCCAGCCAAACGUUCAUAACGUCUGCAUCUGCUCCUGCAAUAGGUCUGUCACCUAGCGGUGCAUCAAGGACAUAAUUCUUCUGUGCAGCAAUGAGGAUAAACCUCAGAUCACGGAUCCAAUCCGCAUCAUUGCUACUAACAUUUUUCAACACAAUUUUUCUCUAGGAACAUAUCAAAAUAAACACAGGGAAGCAACAACGCGAGCUAUUGAUCUACAACAUAAUUUGCAAAAUACUAUCAGGACUAAGUUCAUGAUAAAUUUAAGUUCAAUUAAUCAUAUUACUUAAGAACUCCCACUUAGAUAGACAUCCCUCUAAUCUUCUAAGUGAUUACGUGAUCCAAAUCAACUAAACCAUGACCGAUCAUCAUGUGAGAUGGAGUAGUUUUCAAUGGUGAACAUCGUUUAUGUUGAUCAUAUCUACUAUAUGAUUCACGCUCGACCUUUCGGUCUCCGUGUUCCGAGGCCAUAUCUGCAUAUGCUAGGCUCGUCAAGUUUAACCUGAGUAUUCUGCGUGUGCAAAAACUGGCUUGCACCCGUUGUAGAUGGACGUAGAGCUUAUCACACCCGAUCAUCACGUGGUGUCUGGGCACGACGAACUUUGGCAACGGUGCAUACUCAGGGAGAACACUUCUUGAUAAUUUAGUGAGAGAUCAUCUUAUAAUGCUACCGUCAAUCAAAGCAAGAUAAGAUGCAUAAAAAGAUAAACAUCACAUGCAAUCAAUAUAAGUGAUAUGAUAUGGCCAUCAUCAUCUUGUGCUUGUGAUCUCCAUCUCCGAAGCACCGUCAUGAUCACCAUCGUCACCGGCGCGACACCUUGAUCUCCAUCGUAGCAUCGUUGUCGUCUUGCCAAUCUUAUGCUUUCACGACUAUCACUACCGUUUAGUAAUAAAGUAAAGCAUUACAUCGCGAUUGCAUUGCAUACAAUAAAGCGACAACCAUAUGGCUCCUGCCAGUUGCCGAUAACUUGGUUACAAAACAUGAUCAUCUCAUACAAUAAAAUUCAGCAUCAUGCCUUGACCAUAUCACAUCACAACAUGCCCUGCAAAAACAAGUUAGACGUCCUCUACUUUGUUGUUGCAUGUUUUACGUGGCUGCUACGGGCUUAAGUAAGAACCAACCUCACCUACGCAUCAAAACCACAACGAUAGUUUGUCAAAUAGACUCCGUUUUAACCUUCGCAAGGACCGGGCGUAGCCAUACUUGGUUCAACUAAAGUUGGAGAGACAGUCGCCCGCAAGCCAUCUCUGUGCAAAGCACGUCGAGGGAACCGGUCUCGCGUAAGCGUACGCGUAAGGUUGGUCUGGGUCGUCUCGUCCAACAAUACCGCCGAACCAAAGUAUGACAUGCUGGUAGGCAGUAUGACUUGUAUCGUCCACAACUCACUUGUGUUCUACUCGUGCAUAUAACAUCAACAUCAAUAACCUAGGCUCGGAUGCCACUGUUGGGUUUCGUAGUAAUUUCAAAAAAUUUCCUACGCACACGCAAGAUCAUGUGAUGCAUAGCAACGAGGGGAGAGUAUUGUCCACGUACCCAACGCAGACCGACUGCGAAAGCGAUGACACGACGUAGAGGAAGUAGUCGUACGUCUUCUCGAUCCAACCGAUCAAGCACCGAAACUACGGCACCUCCGAGUUCGAGCACACGUUCAGCUCGAUGACGAUCCCCGGACUCCGAUCCAGCAAAGUGUCAGGGAAGAGUUUCGUCAGCACGACGGCGUGGUGACGAUCUUGAUGAACUACAGCAGCAGGGCUUCGCCUAAACUCCGCUACAGUAUUAUCGAGGAAUAUGGUGGCAGGGGGCACCGCACACGGCUAAGGAAUAGAUCACGUGGAUCAACUUGUGUCAACUUGUAUGUUUUGGGGUGCCUCUACCUCAGUAUAUAAAGGAGCCAAGGGGGGAGAGGGGCGCCGGCCAAGGAGGAGGGCGCAGGAGGAGUCCUACUCCUACCGGGAGUAGGACCCCCCCCCCAAUCCUAUUCCAACUAGGAUUCCCAAGGGGGAAAGAGGGAGAGGGGUGGCCGGCCACCUCUCCUAGUCCUAAUAGGACUAGGGGAAGGGGGGAGGCGCGCAGCCCCCUUGGGCUGCCCCUUUCUCCUUUCCACUAAGGCCCAUGAUGGCCCAUAUGGCUCCCGGGGGGUUCCGGUAACCUUCCGGUAACCCGGUAAAAUCCCGAUUUCACCCGGAACACUUCCGAUGUCCAAACAUAGGCUUCCAAUAUAUCAAUCUUUAUGUCUCGACCAUUUCGAGACUCCUCGUCAUGUCCGUGAUCACAUCCGGGACUCCGAACAACCUUCGGUACAUCAAAAUGCAUAAACUCAUAAUAUAACUGUCAUCGUAACCUUAAGCGUGCGGACCCUACGGGUUCGAGAACAAUGUAGACAUGACCGAGACACAUCUCUGGUCAAUAACCAAUAGCGGGACCUGGAUGCCCAUAUUGGCUCCUACAUAUUCUACGAAGAUCUUUAUCGGUCAGACCGCAUAACAACAUACGUUGUUCCCUUUGUCAUCGGUAUGUUACUUGCCCGAGAUUCGAUCGUCGGUAUCCAAUACCUAGUUCAAUCUCGUUACCGGCAAGUCUCUUUACUCGUUCCGUAAUACAUCAUCUCACAACUAACAUAUUAGUUGUAAUGCUUGCAAGGCUUAUGUGAUGUGUAUUACAGAGAGGGCCCAGAGAUACCUCUCCGACAAUCGGAGUGACAAAUCCUAAUCUCGAAAUACGCCAACCCAACAUCGACCAUUGGAGACACCUGUAGUACUCCUUUAUAAUCACCCAGUUACGUUGUGACGUUUGGUAGUACCCAAAGUGUUCCUCCGGUAAACGGGAGUUGCAUAAUCUCAUAGUCAUAGGAACAUGUAUAAGUCAUGAAGAAAGCAAUAGCAACAUACUAAACGAUCGUGUGCUAAGCUAAUGGAAUGGGUCAUGUCAAUCAGAUCAUUCAACUAAUGAUGUGACCUCGUUAAUCAAAUAACAACUCAUUGUUCAUGGUUAGGAAACAUAACCAUCUUUGAUUAACGAGCUAGUCAAGUAGAGGCAUACUAGUGACACUUUGUUUGUCUAUGUAUUCACACAUGUAUUAUGUUUCCGGUUAAUACAAUUCUAGCAUGAAUAAUAAACAUUUAUCAUGAAAUAAGGAAAUAAAUAAUAACUUUAUUAUUGCCUCUAGGGCAUAUUUCCUUCAACACCACCUUCGCGCCGCUCAUGAAGAAGUGUGGGAAAAGGGGUGUGAAUCACUGAUUUGACAAAUUUUUUCUCACCAAGAAACGCCUCAGCCAAGGAUUGAUGGCUCAUGAUACCAAUUUGUCAGGACCCAAAACAUAUUUGAGGAGAUGAACUAUAAAUUUACGAAUAAUUUGGCAACUAUUGAUCGGAUCUGAACUAUUAUUUCUAUAGUGCGAAGAGUGCAGGGUUUAUGUGUUAGCCAUGGCAUGUACCAAUUGGGGAAUUCAACAAUGAACCUCUCGAGCCACAUCUCGGCUGGUUAUAGGCUGGAAAACAAUAGCGAGCGUACAAUAGUGAAAGGUAGAAAUGCUUCAACGACAACGGUAAAGUAAACCAUGCGAUGGCGACUAGUCGUCUGAGUAAGGAGCCAUCACAACCGUCCAUUCCUCUGAAUCGGUAUUGCCAGAUCUGCUACACCCCUUCUUUGAAUGAACAAUGGUGUUAACUGAAUGUCCGAUAGUCUAAGCCUGACAUUGCGCCCUCCCUUGAGAAAUGACGUGUCCUCAUGGCGCUUGUUGAUUUGCACGCCAGAUUUGAGUUGUUGUCUUGAAGAACUUUGGAAAUAUGUACUUGAUAAAUUUCGCGUCUUCCCAUGUUGCCUCUCCAGGUGACAAAUCCUCCCACUGGAUGUACCACUAUACACAGGCAAGUUAUUUCUAGGAACUUGCCUCACUUGUAAGACUAAAGCAUGACCUGUUUUGAUAGUUCGAUCAGAAGUGACCAUGGGUAAAUUUGGGCUAGGUAUGGAUUUGCUGCCAAUGUGCUUCUUUAGUUGACUCACAUGAAAAACAUGGUGGAUUUUCACAUGGUCACGAAAUUGAAGUUUGUGAGCCAUCUUGCCAAUCUUCUGGAUGAUCAAGAAUGGUCCAUAAUAUUUGUUUUGUAAAUUUCAUAGCUCCUCUGAAUCCGAAAGCUGCUAGCCUAUAUGGUUCCAUUUUAAGAUACACCAUGUCUCCAACCUCAAACACUUUUUCACUUCUCUUGAGAUCUACAUAUCUUUUCAUUCGGUUCUAGGCUUGUUGUAAGUUGUCUUUCAGUUGUUCCAACAUGUGUUGUUUAACAUACAAGAAGAUGUGAGUUUCUUCAUCCUCAGGUUCCGGAAUAGCUAGCUCAGAGAUCAAGGGUGGAGGAAAACCAUAAAUAGCUUGAAAGGGAGACAUUUUCAGGGUAGUAUGAUAUGUAGUAUUAUACCAAAACUCUACCAAAGAAAGCCAAGAACACCAUUUCUUGGGUUCAUUGGUUGUCAUGCGCCUAAGAUAAGUUUCCACACAUUGGUUUACCCUCUCAAUUUGACCAUCAGUUUGAGGAUGGCAGGAAUAAUGUACCUCAGUUCACUUUUCAAACUAUCAAAAAUAUCCUUCCACAAUUUACUAGUGAAAAUUCCGUCUAUGUGUGAAAUAAUGAGCUUAGGAGGGCCAUGCAGACUGAUAAUGUUGUCCACAAAGGCCCGUGCGACACCAAGGACAGUGUAUAGGUGUGCGAGUGGUAUAAAAUGAGCAUGCCUAGUAAAUCUGUCCACUACCACCAAUAUUACUUCAUUGCCUUGAGAUUGUGGAAGUCCCUCUAUGAAAUCCAUAGAAAUAUGUUGUCAUGCCAUGUCAACUAUUGGGAGUGGAUCUAACAGGCCAGGUUGCACACAAUUUUCAUGCUUAGAUCUCUGGUAGAUGCGACAAGCUGCAAUGAAAGACUCCACAUCUGAUUUAAGACCUAGCCAAUAGAAAAUACCUUUUCACUCUCUAAUAAGUAGCUCUUGUGCCAGAAUGACCUCCAAUGGGGGAGUUGUGCAGUUAUCAUUCUUGUUUUUAAAUCAAAUAAACCACCCUCCAGAAUUUUCCCUUUAUAUCUAAUUAUGCCAACUGUAAGGUUGUAAUCAAACAUAGUGUUGUCCUAUUUCAACAGGAAUUGUUCGAAAACUUGUUUGGUCACCGGGUCCUUAUGAUAAUUGCCUACUAGUUCAAAAGCCCAAACUAGAGUAGCAACAUAAAUUGUCAUACGGGAUGGCAAUAAUCUUGAUAAAGCAUCUGCAACUUUGUUGUCCACCCCUUUUUGUACUAUAUUUUAAAGCUGAACUCAAGUAGUUUCACCAUCAAUUUAUGUUGAACACCCUCUGUUAUUUUCUGAUCAGUAAUGAAUUUAAGAGCACUAGUACAGAACCGGCCUUUAGUGCCGGUUCGUGACGGGCUUUAGUGCCGGUUCUCCAACUGGCACUAAAGAGUGGGGACUAAAGGUCCCCUCCCUUUAGUACCGGUUCGUCAUGAACCGGCGCUAAAGUGCCACCACGUGGCACGAGCCAGGCCCGUUUGCGUGUAGGGCAUUAGUACCGGUUGGUAACACCAACCGGUACUAAAUGUUUUUUUUUAAUUUUUCUUUAAUUUUGUGUUUUCAAUUUAAUUUAGUGAUUGUUUUACAUUAUAAUGAGUUGUUAAAUCAUUAGGUGAAAGUACCGCGGAUUAGUUUUGACUGGAUGGAUAUCUCUAGCUAGCUAGCUACUAGCUAGCUAGCUACCUAGCAAAGUGAUCAAGUAUAUGCCAUAUCCAUAUUAUACUUGAUCAACUACAGUGAUCUGCGGUUUCUUUCAUUAAAUGAUAUAAUAAUUAACUAGCUGAUCACCACCAGCACUAGCUACUAGCUUAAAGAAGAAACAUUCACUUGUACCAGAAGCAAAAAUAUCAUCGAGUUCAACAUGAUUGUCAUGAUAUUAUAAGCGUUCAUAUAUAACACCACAAAAGCAAAUCACUUAAGUUCAGAACGAAGAACACGGACAUGAAAGGACAAGUACUAAUUAAGAGCAGCAUGAAACUAGCUAAAUCACUCCUGCUAGCUACCCUCUCUCUGGUAAAAUAGCAUAGAACAUGUAUAGCUCUCUUGAUUGAUCAUACUGGAGCAUGCCGAUGAACCUGUCUCCUAAUCGUGGGCUGCACUUCUCAUUGCUGCCCCCUAGUACUUCUCUGCGAUCAUUAACAAUUUUCCUCCAAUCUUUCACUAUUAAGCAUUCAUCGCUUCUAGAAAAUCCUGAAUGCAUUCAUGUGCAAUGCAGGAUAUCUUGGCCGUAAGCUAACAAUUGACAUAUGACCUUUAGUCUCGAUCCCCUGAGGCACAACUGUCAUCGGGAGUCCCUGUUGAAGAACAUCGUAUAGUACUUAAUUAAUAUACUUAGGAAUGAAAGUUUAGCAAAAAAAAUUAUGUAUGCAAAAAUGCACUGAGGACAAAUAGUAAAUAUCUUACCAUCAUUCCUAAAUAGAUGUGACCGUAGUUCAAUACCAUCACUAUUGGUCGCACGUUUUGAGUACUAACAUUUCUAAGUGCAGGAAGAAAAUGGGACAGUAGUAGGUCAUGUCUACCAAGCGCCGGACAUGUUUGGUUGAGUGGAGAUAAGCUGUCAAUAGAAAUUAGUUAUCAGUUAUUUUUGAAUAAGCAAUAUCAAAGACAAAAAUAUAGUUCAGAAGAACUCACAUAAUGGUAGAACUGGAGGCGUCUGCACAUCGACCCAUAUGUCUCUAUUACCUUCAAUAUCAUCUUCCGAACGAAUAUCAAAGGUGAUAACCAUACCAGGCGCAAAUGCAUAAGCCUUGCAUAGUGCUUGCCAAGUUUUGCAUUCAAAAAAGGUGUACGUGUGUUCAUUGUAUACUUUGACAUUGAAAGUAUAACCAUCAUGCUCAGUUUUCAGGUAAACUCUCUUUACCUCCAUAGUUUUCAUAUCUUUGAAACCUAUCUUAUCAAAGACAAAAAUUCUUGCAUGACAGGGGAUGCGCUAGUAGAAUAGUGAAGAUUAAAAAUUAUAAGUCAGGCAAAUAAAGCAUAUAUAAGUCAUGCUUAAUUACGAAAACAGACUUGUCGUUGUGACUUACUGUAUCGAAUUCGAAAGUCUCAUCCAGCUUGAUGCUGAAUCGCCUACCAUCAACAAGGAAAUUUCUGUCGCACUGGCCGCGCUGGUCUUCACAGUAUUCGCACAUAAUGAAAUUUUUUCCGUCGUCAGAUGACAUUUCCUAUGUUCAUAUUAGGCGAAACAUUAAACACUUACUAAUUCAAUUAAUUCAACUACUUUUAUUAAUUCAACUAAGCAUUUACUAAAAAUAAACUAGUUAUAUUAAUUCAACUAGUUCAACUAAGCAUUUACUAAAAAUGAACUAGUCUAUAUAUUAAUUCAACUAGUUCAGCUAAACAUUUACUAAAAAUAAACUAGUUAUAUUAAUUCAAUUAGUUCAACUAAGUAUUUACUAAAAANNNNNNNNNNNNNNNNNNNNNNNNNNNNNNNNNNNNNNNNNNNNNNNNNNNNNNNNNNNNNNNNNNNNNNNNNNNNNNNNNNNNNNNNNNNNNNNNNNNNNNNNNNNNNNNNNNNNNNNNNNNNNNNNNNNNNNNNNNNNNNNNNNNNNNNNNNNNNNNNNNNNNNNNNNNNNNNNNNNNNNNNNNNNNNNNNNNNNNNNNNNNNNNNNNNNNNNNNNNNNNNNNNNNNNNNNNNNNNNNNNNNNNNNNNNNNNNNNNNNNNNNNNNNNNNNNNNNNNNNNNNNNNNNNNNNNNNNNNNNNNNNNNNNNNNNNNNNNNNNNNNNNNNNNNNNNNNNNNNNNNNNNNNNNNNNNNNNNNNNNNNNNNNNNNNNNNNNNNNNNNNNNNNNNNNNNNNNNNNNNNNNNNNNNNNNNNNNNNNNNNNNNNNNNNNNNNNNNNNNNNNNNNNNNNNNNNNNNNNNNNNNNNNNNNNNNNNNNNNNNNNNNNNNNNNNNNNNNNNNNNNNNNNNNNNNNNNNNNNNNNNNNNNNNNNNNNNNNNNNNNNNNNNNNNNNNNNNNNNNNNNNNNNNNNNNNNNNNNNNNNNNNNNNNNNNNNNNNNNNNNNNNNNNNNNNNNNNNNNNNNNNNNNNNNNNNNNNNNNNNNNNNNNNNNNNNNNNNNNNNNNNNNNNNNNNNNNNNNNNNNNNNNNNNNNNNNNNNNNNNNNNNNNNNNNNNNNNNNNNNNNNNNNNNNNNNNNNNNNNNNNNNNNNNNNNNNNNNNNNNNNNNNNNNNNNNNNNNNNNNNNNNNNNNNNNNNNNNNNNNNNNNNNNNNNNNNNNNNNNNNNNNNNNNNNNNNNNNNNNNNNNNNNNNNNNNNNNNNNNNNNNNNNNNNNNNNNNNNNNNNNNNNNNNNNNNNNNNNNNNNNNNNNNNNNNNNNNNNNNNNNNNNNNNNNNNNNNNNNNNNNNNNNNNNNNNNNNNNNNNNNNNNNNACGACGACGACGGGCGGCGGGGGCGGCGAGGGCGACGGCACGGCGGCGCGGCGGCGGCGGCGUCGUCGAGAUCGAGACUCGCGCACGCGAGAAGUGGAACAAACUGGCGACGAUAACUGAAUUUUCGUAAGUGCCAUAUAUAUAGGAGGGGUCUUUAGUACCGGUUGGAGCCACCAACCGGUACUAAAGGCCAGUUUUGGCCAGCCCAAGCGGCGGGAAACGAGGACCUUUAGUACCGGUUGGUGGCUCCAACCGAUACUAAAGGGCAACAUAUUAGUACCGGUUGUAGCCACCAACCGGUACUAAUGGCCGUGCGCUGCCACCCGCGGCGCGCUAUGUUUAGUCCCACCUCGCCGAGCGAAGGGCAGCCGCACUGGUUUAUAAACCCAGCCGCGGCUGCCUUUUCGAACUCCUCUAUAUAGCAGGCUUCUGGGCCUAACUAGAGCGCGUUGUCCUGUGAGCUUGCUGGCCCUUCUGGGCCUGCAUUUGCACACCCUAGGUCUGGCAGGCCCACCGGGCAGCGCCCCAACAUUUUUUAUAGUUUUUUUCUUUUCUGCAUUAUUUAUUUUCUUUUAUUUGGUUUUGAGUAAAUUUUUUAUAUAGUUAUUUCUUUUCUGCUUUAUUUUUUUCUUCUAUUUCUUUUUGACUAGUUUUUUUUGCUGUAUUUAGUUUAUUUGUGAAUAUUUUUGCUUUAUAUAAUAUAUUUUUUCUGCAUUAUUUAUUUUCUUCUAUUUAUUUUUGAGUAAUUUUUUUAUAUAGUUAUUUCUUUUCUACUUUAUUUUUUUCUUCUAUUUAUUUCUGAGUAGUUGUUUUUGCUGUAUUUAGUUUAUUUGUNNNNNNNNNNNNNNNNNNNNNNNNNNNNNNNNNNNNNNNNNNNNNNNNNNNNNNNNNNNNNNNNNNNNNNNNNNNNNNNNNNNNNNNNNNNNNNNNNNNNNNNNNNNNNNNNNNNNNNNNNNNNNNNNNNNNNNNNNNNNNNNNNNNNNNNNNNNNNNNNNNNNNNNNNNNNNNNNNNNNNNNNNNNNNNNNNNNNNNNNNNNNNNNNNNNNNNNNNNNNNNNNNNNNNNNNNNNNNNNNNNNNNNNNNNNNNNNNNNNNNNNNNNNNNNNNNNNNNNNNNNNNNNNNNNNNNNNNNNNNNNNNNNNNNNNNNNNNNNNNNNNNNNNNNNNNNNNNNNNNNNNNNNNNNNNNNNNNNNNNNNNNNNNNNNNNNNNNNNNNNNNNNNNNNNNNNNNNNNNNNNNNNNNNNNNNNNNNNNNNNNNNNNNNNNNNNNNNNNNNNNNNNNNNNNNNNNNNNNNNNNNNNNNNNNNNNNNNNNNNNNNNNNNNNNNNNNNNNNNNNNNNNNNNNNNNNNNNNNNNNNNNNNNNNNNNNNNNNNNNNNNNNNNNNNNNNNNNNNNNNNNNNNNNNNNNNNNNNNNNNNNNNNNNNNNNNNNNNNNNNNNNNNNNNNNNNNNNCUUCCUCCUCCUCUUCUUCUUCUUCCUCCUCUUCUUCCUGGGCUUCUUCCUCUUCUUCUUCUUCCUCUUCCUCCGCAAGGGCGCGGCCGCCGAUGUCGUCCAGGAGGCGUUGCCGACCUGCGGGUGCCACAUCGAGCGCUACCGCCACCACGACCACCACGCGGUUCCGCGACGACGACGCCCUGUACGGGUCGGCGACGGCGAGGGCACGUCCGCGGCCGGCGCCGAGGAGGCCGUGCGGACGUGCGGGAGCUACACCGACACCCCGCCCCGAAGCCCUACUCCGGUCAGUGUGUCGACGGCCCUCGGCAUCAAGGGCGGCCGCGGAGGGCGGGGCCAGAAGAACAAGCGCGACGAGUUGCGCGUGGAGGUGAGCCGCGGCGGAGUGCCCUCGGACGGCUUCGAAGAGUCGGUCGCGCGGUGCGGCUUCCGAAACCCGAGCCUGGUGCGGCCGCCACGGAGGGACUCGACGCGGUGCGCGCAGAUGGGGGCCGUCGCGUCAUACAUCCCGGGACCCGGAGGGGUUCGCGGCCAGAGGGACACCCACGACUACGGCGGCACCUCGAGCCGGCCCCGCGCUGCAGAGUUCCACGCCCCCACCGCGGAUCUGCCCGCAGAGGUAUGGCUUUCUCCCUUGUCAAUAUGCACCUUCAUACAUCGGUGCUACCUCCUGUCAUGUGUGUAGCCCGUAGUCGUGGAAGUGGUUGCUGUAACCAUACUGCCAGGAUCGUGCAUUAUUCCCUUGUUCAUAUUUGUUGCUGUGACACAACACUUCUAGAUCUUGUGUGUGGUUCCCAGGUUGUAUAUAUAAACUUUUCCUUGUUCUAUUUCGAAUGCACCUCUCUUCUGCAUGUUUGAGAGUUGCGCCAUGCAUUGCAUGAAUUCUUUUCACAUGCCAUAUGUUAUUCACUUUCUGGUUCAGAUCUAUGACACUGGGAGUAUCGAGGGGUCAUCUGGAUCUUUCACUGUGAAGUGUGAACAAUGUCCAAGUGAAUGUUGCUGGCUAUGUCCUGCAUACCGGUUCAUUUAGUACAUUUUGCUGGCUAUGUCCUAAAUAUGGUUGUGGUGCCCUCUGCUCUGAUAAAUUAGAUAUUAUUAAAACCUGCUGUCAGUUUGUUUGUUUUCUUAGAAACAUUAUGUCCUUAGCCAUUAUAUGAAAGAUGAUGCCAAUUGUACUUUGUAGCCAUUUCCUGUUGAGCUGCUUUUUAUUAGAUUGUAACUAAGAAUGUUGUUUCUUCAUCAGAAAAUUGGGUCCAUCAAUAAUACAUUAGAUGCAGCUGCUAUCCCAGCUGCAAGAAAAGCUGAUCUAAAAGGCAAUGUCUCAAAGUUGGAGGUCUGUAAAUGCUACAGUUCAUUUGCCAUAUCUUGUCAAAGAGAAUAUUUACGAUAUUUGGUAUUCUAUUGGUAGUUAAAAUGAAAGCUGAUUAUAGCUGUUGCAUAUAUCAGGAUAAACUAAGGGAGGCGAAGAAGAAAACGAGCAAAGAAAAUGUCCAAAAGGCUGUCAAGACUGCCAUAGAUGCUGCUCAUGCUGAUGUGGGUCUUGAUACCACUGCUGUCCGGGAAGCAGUUGUCACACCCAUGGACCGUUUCAAGGUCGGCACUCCAAUCCAUUUCUUUCUAGUAGUGUCCGCGCCAUCUAAAAAUAACUAUAGAUUGAGCAUAAUUAACUUACUCCAACAGUUUUAUUUUAUUUAUGAAUUUAAAAUCAAAUUUGUGCCAAAUAUUUGGAUGUGCUGGUGACCUCUUGGGUUUGGCUUUUCCAGAGUCUGCCAAUAAUGAUAUUGUAUGUUGUCUGAACUUCUGAAAUCCUGGUUUUAUUCUGAAAUUCUCAAUUUAACGAUCGUGUUAGUUUUAUCCUAAAUUUCUCAAUUUUACUAUGCUCACUGCAUGUACUUCUGAAAUGCUAUGGAUUUUAUAUGUAACUUUCUUUAGAUUUUCCUAUAUUGCACAACAAAGUUUGGCAAUCAAUUUCAGGCUGUGUCAUUUAUUCUGUUGUUUCUAAAUGUGUUUGUGGGUGGAUAUCUACUGAUCUGAUGUACGGACAUUGUUUUCUUUUGUGUAUUUUAUAGCUUUGGCUUUGUAGUACUCGUAAACCGAUAUUCUUUUCUGCAUGUUUGAGAGUUGUGCCAUGCAUUGCAUGAAUUCUUUUCACAUGCCAUAUGUUAUUUCUGGAUCAGAUUUAUGACACUGGGAGUAUCAAGGGGCCAUCUGGAUCUUUUAUUGUGAACAGUGUCCAAGUGAAGCCUGCUGGCUAUGUCCUGCAUACCGGUUCAUUUCUGGAAGGGCCUGACUCCAAGGCAUUGUCUGUUGGCGAUGAAGUGAAAUGCGAGGUAACAUUCUUUACUGAUUAAUUCUUUGUAGUGAAUGAGUUAACCUGUGAAAUUUGCCAAAUUACACUGCAGUUCUUCUAUUACUUUAUCAACAUCCUGUUACAUCCUGCUGAACUUUUCAAGUUUAUAUUGCUAUCUUUCAUGUAUCGCUACCAUUAUUUGUACUUCCAGGAUGCGUUUGUUCUGUCGGACACCUAUGGCUAUCCAAUUGAUUUGACUGAGGUUUGUUCUUCAUGUUUACAUCAGUAAAUCUGAUCAAAUUAAUUUGACAGUGCUAUAUUUUCAUGUUUAUGCUGUUGUUAAAGCUUUUUUUGUCUGUUUUUCUUGGUAUCGUUGUUGUUUCCUAUCUCAUAGGUCAUGGCAGUUGACUUCGGGCCAUCUGUUGACAUGGAGGGUUUUAAUGUUUCUAUGGAAGAAGCAAGGCAAAAGGCUAGGAAUGCUCGCUACAAGGUUUUAUUUCUUUCUUCUUAAAUAUAAAAUUUAAUUCCUCACUUGUGGUUGUUUAUGCUAUCCAAGUAUUGUUCCUGCUUAUCGCAAAAAAAGUAUUAUUCCUGCUCUUUGCUGUUUCAUAAUGUUCUAAUUAACUAAACUUAGCAUCUCUUAUAUGCCACGAUGCUCAAUUGAUUGGGCAACUUUUGUCUGUUAUGGUUGAUAUAUCAUAUUUCUUCUGAUUUUGUCAUGUUGCCCCAUAUGGGGCAACAUUAAUUAUGCUAUUUUUAAUGUAUUUUUCAUGUGGGGCCAUUACGAAAGGAAGAAACCCCAUCUGACAUCAGCUUGAUAGUUACCUCAGUUUGCGAGUUACUCCCUCCGUCCCACAAUAUAAGACCGUUUUCAAGCUAACAUAGUUUAAAAAACGAUCUUAUAUUAUGGGAUGGAGUAGAUAUUUUCUAUAGUAGCUAUUGAGCUGAUGUCUGAUCGGGUGUCCUCUUGUUGCAAUGGCCCCACAUGGCAGUAGAUUUGUUAAUUUUAACAUAAUCAUGUUGGUUGAUUUGUAAGUAAAAUAGACGCACAAUUUCUGUUUCAAAAUUAUUCUUUGAUUGUAACCAGAACAAAAAAUGAUUAGUGCACCCUGGAGUGAUUACCCUCUGGUUCGUUGAAACCUGAUUGGUAUUCUUUGUUGCUUGUUGUAUGUCAUCAUAAUAAUCUACAGCACUCAUAAAUAAAUGGUUGAAGUAAUAUUUUUUGUCAUUACACCAUUUCGAACACCACAUUACGGUUGUAUCCAAUCUCACUCUGAGGAAAAUUGUGUUGAGGGCUUCGAAGUUGUCCAUACAAUACAUUGGCUUCAAAAUUUCAGUCAAAAUUUGACAAGUUCAUACCGGUACAUUGCACAACAAACAUUACAAUUUGCAUUCAACAACCAUGGAUGUUUUCUCGUUUAUUUGAAGUAGGUUAUAUAUAUGAACUUCUUUUCUUUUUAAUGAACGAUACGGAGCUCUCAUGCAUGUUCGAGAGUUGCGUCAUGCAUUGUAUGAAUCUCUUUUGACAUGCCAUAUGAUAUUUCUGGAUUAGAUCUAUGACACUGGGAGUAUAGAGGGGCCAUCUGGAUCUUUUACUGUGAACAAUGUCCAAGUGUUUGGUGGCUAUGUCCUGCACAUCGGUUCAUUUCUGGAAGGGCCUGACUCCAAGGCAUUGUCUGUUGGCGAUGAAGUGAAAUGCAAAGUAACAUUCUUUACUAAUUAAUUUCUUUAUACCGGUCAUCAGUUAACCUGUUAAAUAUGCUAAAUUACAUUGAGAUACUUCUAUUACUCUUGGCAGGUUGAUUACACACGGCGUACUCUCACUGCUCCAAACCACACAUGUACCCAUAUGCCGAACUUUGCUCUAAGGGUAUGUUUUCAAGCCUCUCAGAUUUUACGGGGAGUGCUUUUCUGUACUCAUGAUGGUUUCGCUAUUGCAAGUGUAGGAAGUACGUGGUGACCAUAUUGACCAAAAAGGUUCCAUUGUUCUUCCAGAGAAGCUGAGAUUUGAUUUCUCCCAUAUUAUAAAAUAACUUCUAAAUGGUUGUACGGCAUAGAAAAAUAGGAAGCUGUAACAAGCAUAUGUUCUGUACUUUAAGAACCACUAGAAUACUAGAUUUAGGUGACUAGCAUGAAACAUUGACCACAGCACUCCAUCCUUGCAAGUGAAAUACCUACACUGGUUGCAUAAACACUCAAAAAGAAUUGCUUGUAGUAGUGAUGUAGUUGUUAGUAAGUAUUUAUGCUACAAUCCUAAUCAUGUGCGUGUCCAAUAAUUAAGAACAGAAUUGUAGUGAUGUAGUUUUUCAGAGUUAUUGUGCAUUUUUUCUCUCUUUUCUAACUCUUUGUUUGUGUUGCAGGAUGCAGACAAGAAGGGACUUGGUGCAACUAGUGUAGAAUCUGGGCAUAUGGUAGAAGAGGUGGAGGGCAUGGAAGAGGGCUAUCUUGCUAAGAUUGUUCAGGGUGAUGGUGCCAAGGAGAUUAAAGUUGAAGAGGUAUAUAUUUACUGUCCAAAGAAUGUAUAAUUUUUUUUCUUAUUUCAAAGACGAGCAUAUUGUAGUUGUUGAACUUGCUAAAUAUCAUCAUAUUAAUGUUGUAAAUUGUGGUUCAGCUGAGAGUCUAACUUAGUUUUUCAGAGUUAUUGGCGGAGUGAGUAAUAUAUCAUCAUAUUUUAGUUUUUCAGAGUUAUUGGCGGAGUGAGUAAUGUAUGUGCAUAUGUUUAAAUUGAAAAAAUGUAGCCAUUCAUAUCACUUCCAAACAUUCAGAAUUUCUAAAUCUUUCUAUUUCCAGGAGCCAUAGCACCAUAAUAUUCUGAGUUCUCAACUAAUUUACUUAAUCUCUCCUGAGCUCAUUUUGUACAUGUGACUGAAAAUUAGCUGUGAUCUUUAUAUGGUUUAAUUGAGAACUUAUAUAUUUUGUGGCGAACUCGUAUAUGUUUAACAACUUAUCUUUUGCUUCUCAGAUAUUUAUGGAUAUCUGCGGAUGUACUAUUUCACUUCAGAAGAAUUUGAGCAAAAUGGACAUAAACCAGUUAAGCGAGGCUGCUUUUGUUAGAGCGGGAAUCAAACCAUGUGACUUUUAUUUCACUUAUGCUGGAAAUUUUUUGGAGCCAAACCAUCCACUUUCAUGCUAUCAAAUUCCAAGAGAUUCAACAAUCAAACUGAACACUCGUCUGCGAGGUGGCUGGUACGUGUUAAACUGAAAUCCUAAUUAUCCAUUCACCUUUCGUGAUAAAUGUGCCAUGCUUUUUUUUCCGAUAAAGGGCGCUUUUAUUAUCUCAAAAUAUAGCAUCAAGCGAUACAAAGCAUUUAGAGUAUCACCCGGCCUCUGCAUAACUAGGAUGCACACAGCCAAACAUCAAAAAUCUGACAAAAAAAAAUGACAAUUCGGCAAGAGUAGAGUCCUAUAGACCGGCACUAUGCCUAUGUCAAAACGGUUGGUGGACCGAUGCGGAGAUUAUGCUGCCAUCCAUGUUAGGUAAAAAACUCCAUAGCCACCUGCUCCAAUCGCGUACACACCGCCUUGAAUAGCGAUUGGUACUCCGCACGUUGUAGCAUAGGCCACAUACUAAGCGAGUGCGUACAACGGAAAAUAACCUGCAAAGGAGAAGCAUUUUUGUCAUUAAAAACCAAAUCGUUUCUACAUAGCCAAAGCGAUCAUAGUAAGGCGUACGCUCCCACCCUUAUUAGCGUUUUGAACCUAUUUGAAAUACCGUCCAACCAAUGACCAAAAAUAUUGGCAACACUUGUGGGCGGAUACAAAUUUGACGCUAUUUGGAUGACUGACCACGUAGAACGCGCAAACUUGCAUUGAAAAAAGAGGUGUUUGAUUGUCUCGUUAUGAGUACAAAAACAACACUUCUUACUUCCUGGCCAGUUGCGUCGUGCAAGGUUGUCUUUGGUUAGCACAACACCUCUACGAAGAUACCACAUGAAUAUUUUAACUUUUAGUGGAAUCUUUGUCUUCCAGAUUUUUUUGUUAUUGCUCUCCGGUACCUCAGAAUGCGUGAGCGCACGAUACAUAGAAUCUACCGUGAAAGACCCCGAUGUAGUAAGGUUCCAGCGAAACACAUCACGGCCUUGCGUCAGGUUAAUCAGAUCCAGACGGGAUAAGAGAUUAUGCCAUGACAUAAGUCGGGCGCCAACCAAAUCCCGCCUGAACAAAAUAUUCGGCGAGGAUGAGCUGAGCACCUGCGCAAUAGUAUUGUUCUUAUCGCGAACAAUGUUGUACAAGGCUGGAUAUUGUUCUCGGAGACUGGCAUUGCCUAGCCAGAUGUCUUCCCAAAAACGAAUCUCCGACCCGUCCUUUAUCGCGAAAGACCCAAAGCGAAAGAGUUGUUUUUUUGCCGCCAUUAGGCCAGCCCAAAAGUGUGAGUCGCCAGGUUUCCAAUAUGCCUGAGACACCGCCUUUUGGCCUAGAUACUUGUUGCGCAGUAUGGUUUGCCAAACACCAUCCUCAGUAAGAAGUUUGAACAACCAUUUACUAAGUAGGGCCUCAUUCUUGACCUGCAGGUCAUGAAUUCCAAAGCCACCUUGGUCUUUCGGCCUACAAAUCACGCUCCAUUUGGUCAGCCGGUAUUUUUUCUUUUCACCAUCUCCUUGCCAAAAGAAUCUGGACCUAAAAUAGUCCAAUCUUUGCAAGACCCCUUUUGGGAGUUGGAAGAAAGAAAGCAUAUAGAGAAUCAUAUUUGUGAGGACAGAGUUUAUCAAAACCAGCCGUCCUCCAACUGAGAGCAACUUGCCUUUCCAACUGCUCAACCGUUUCUCUAGCCGCUCCUCUACAUGCUUCCACUCCGCAAUGGUGAGACGUCGAUAAUGAAUUGGUAUUCCCAGAUAUUUGAUCGGGAAUUGGCCAAGUGCGCAACCAAAUAGGUCCGCGUAAUUGGCCGCUACCUCGACGGCUUCUCCAAAGCAGAACACUUCGCUUUUAUGGAAGUUAAUUUUAAGACCUGACAUUUGCUCAAAUGCUGACAACAGGAGUUUCAUGUUUCGAGCCUUGUCCAGGUCAUGUUCCAUAAAAAGUAUUGUGUCAUCAGCAUAUUGCAGAAUAGAGAGGCCACCAUCCACAAGGUGUGGCACUACCCUAGCAAUUUGCCCAUCCUGCUUGGCACGCUCAAUUAGAAUUGCCAACAUGUCAGCCACAAUGUUAAAUAACAUUGGGGACAUGGGGUCACCCUGCCGUAGUCCUUUUUUUGUCUGGAAGUAAUGACCUACAUCAUCAUUGACUUUGAUGGCCACGCUACCUCCAGUUACAAAAUUUUGGAUCCAAUGGCACCAUUUUUCAGAGAAACCUUUCAUCCUUAGGGCCUGUUGGAGGAAAGACCAUUUGACCUUGUCAUAGGCUUUUUCAAAGUUAAUUUUGAAUACUACUCCACUUAGGUUUUUCCGAUGCAUCUCGUGGACGGUCUCAUGCAGGAUUACUACACCAUCAAGUAUAUUCCUUCCUUGCAUGAAAGCCGUUCGAGAUGGUCGGACAACAUGGUCCGCUACCGAGUUAAGCCGAUUCAUAGCCACUUUGGUGAAAAUCUUGAAACUGACAUUAAGGAGGCAUAUGGGUCUAAACUGCUGGAUCCGUUCAGCCUCCUUAAUCUUUGGCAACAAGACAAUCUCGCCAAAAUUAAGCCUAAAUAGCUCAAGUCGGUCGGCAUGAAGACAAUUGAACAACUCCAUAAGGUCAGCCUUGAUGAUAUCCCAGAAAUUCUGAUAGAAUUCUGCGGGGAAACCAUCUGCGGCAUGCUUUACAGCCUAGAGCCGGGGCUCCAAAAGCGUUUUGAGAGACAUGGAGCAUAUGAGAUGUUCGAAGAGCUGAAAAUGGUUUUCCAAGCUCAUGCCCGGGUCGAGAGAUAUGAAGUCUCCGACAAAUUCUUCAGCUGUAAGAUGGAGGAAAACAGUUCUGUCAGUGAGCACAUACUCACUAUGUCUGGGUUGCAUAACCGCUUGACUCAGCUGGGAGUUAAUCUCCCGGAUGAUGCGGUCAUUGACAGAAUCCUCCAGUCGCUUCCACCAAGCUACAAGAGCUUUGUGAUGAACUUCAAUGUGCAGGGGAUGGAAAAGACCAUUCCUGAAGUAUUUGCUAUGCUGAAAUCAGCAGAGGUAGAAGUCAGGAAGGAACAUCAAGUGUUGAUGGUCAAUAAAACCACUAAGUUCAAGAAAGGCAAGGGUAAAAAGAACUUCAAGAAGGACGGCAAGGAGGUUGCCGCGCCCGGCAAGCAAGCUGCCGGGAAGAAGCCAAAGAAUGGACCCAAGCCCGAGACUGAGUGCUUUUAUUGCAAGGGAAGCGGUCACUGGAAGCGGAACUGCCCUAAGUACUUAGCGGAUAAGAAGGCCGGCAAAACAAAAGGUAUAUGUGAUAUACAUGUAAUUGAUGUGUACCUUACUAGUGCCCGUAGUAGCUCCUGGGUAUUUGAUACCGGUGCAGUUGCUCACAUUUGUAACUCAAAGCAGGGGCUGCGGAAUAAGCGAAAACUGGCAAAGGACGAGGUGACGAUGCGCGUCGGGAAUGGUUCCAAGGUCAAUGUGAUCGCCGUCGGCACGCUACCUCUGCAUCUCCCUUCAGGAUUAGUUUUAAACCUUAAUAAUUGUUAUUUAGUGCCAGCUUUGAGCAUGAACAUUGUAUCGGGAUCUCGUUUAAUUCGAGAUGGCUACUCUUUUAAAUCUGAGAAUAAUGGUUGUUCCAUUUUUAUGAGAGAUAUGUUUUAUGGUCAUGCUCCUAUGGUGAAUGGUUUGUUCUUUAUGAAUCUCGAACGUGAUGCUACACAUGUUCAUAAUGUGAGUACCAAAAGAAGUAAGGUUGAUAAUGAUAGUCCCACAUACCUGUGGCACUGCCGCCUUGGUCACAUAGGUGUCAAACGCAUGAAGAAGCUCCAUGCUGAUGGACUUUUAGAGUCUCUUGAUUAUGAAUCAUUUGACACAUGCGAACCAUGCCUUAUGGGUAAAAUGACCAAGACUCCGUUCUCAGGAACAAUGGAGCGAGCAACCGACUUAUUGGAAAUCAUACAUACUGAUGUGUGCGGUCCAAUGAGUGUUGAGGCUCGCGGUGGCUAUCGUUAUGUUCUCACCCUCACUGAUGAUUUAAGUAGGUAUGGGUAUAUGUACUUAAUGAAACACAAGUCUGAAACCUUUGAAAAGUUCAAGGAAUUUCAGAGUGAGGUUGAAAAUCAACGUGACAGGAAAAUCAAGUUUCUACGAUCAGAUCGUGGAGGAGAAUACUUAAGUCACGAGUUUGGCACACACUUAAGAAAAUGUGGAAUAGUUUCACAACUCACGCCGCCUGGAACACCUCAGCGUAAUGGUGUGUCCGAACGUCGUAAUCGCACUCUAUUAGAUAUGGUGCGAUCUAUGAUGUCUCUUACCGAUUUACCAUUAUCUUUUUGGGGCUAUGCUUUAGAGACUGCCGCAUUCACUUUAAAUAGGGCUCCGUCGAAAUCCGUUGAGACGACACCGUAUGAAUUAUGGUUUGGGAAGAAACCUAAGCUGUCGUUUCUAAAAGUUUGGGGAUGCGAUGCUUAUGUCAAGAAACUUCAACCUGAAAAGCUCGAACCCAAGUCGGAAAAAUGCGUCUUCAUAGGAUACCCAAAAGAAACUAUUGGGUACACCUUCUACCUCAGAUCCGAAGGCAAGAUCUUUGUUGCCAAGAAUGGGUCCUUUCUGGAGAAAGAGUUUCUCUCGAAAGAAGUAAGUGGGAGGAAAGUAGAGCUUGAUGAAGUAUUACCUCUUGAACCGGAAAAUGGCGCAACUCAAGAAAAUGUUUCUGAGGUGCCAGCACCGACUAGAGAGGAAGUUAAUGAUAAUGAUCAAGAUACUUCUGACCAAGCACCUACUGAAAUUCGAAGGUCCACAAGGACACGUUCCGCACCAGAGUGGUACGGCAACCCUGUCUUGGAAAUCAUGCUGUUAGACAACGGUGAACCUUCGAACUAUGAAGAAGCAAUGGCGGGCCCGGAUUCCGACAAAUGGCUAGAAGCCAUGAAAUCCGAGAUAGGAUCCAUGUAUGAAAACAAAGUAUGGACUUUGACUGACUUGCCCGUUGAGCGGCGAGCCAUAGAAAAUAAAUGGAUCUUUAAGAGGAAGACAGACGCGGAUGAUAAUGUGACCAUCUAUAAAGCUCGGCUUGUCGCUAAGGGUUAUCGACAAGUUCAAGGGGUUGACUACGAUGAGACUUUCUCACCGGUAGCGAAGCUGAAGUCCGUCCGAAUCAUGUUAGCAAUUGCCGCAUUCUAUGAUUACGAAAUAUGGCAAAUGGACGUCAAAACGGCAUUCCUUAAUGGUUUCCUUAAGGAAGAAUUGUAUAUGAUGCAGCCGGAAGGUUUUGUCGAUCCUAAGAAUGCUGACAAAGUGUGCAAGCUCCAACGCUCGAUUUAUGGGCUGGUGCAAGCAUCUCGGAGUUGGGACAUUCGCUUUGAUGAGAUGAUCAAAGCGUUUGGGUUUACACAGACUUAUGGAGAAGCCUGCAUUUACAAGAAAGUGAGUGGGAGCUCUGUAGCAUUUCUCAUAUUAUAUGUAGAUGACAUACUUUUGAUGGGAAAUGAUAUAGAACUCUUGGACAGCAUCAAGGCCUACUUGAAUAAAAGUUUUUCAAUGAAGGACCUUGGAGAAGCUGCUUAUAUAUUAGGCAUCAAAAUCUAUAGAGAUAGAUCGAGACGCCUCAUAGGUCUUUCACAAAGCACAUACCUUGAUAAGAUAUUGAAGAAUUUCAAUAUGGAUCAAUCCAAGAAGGGGUUCUUGCCUGUGUUACAAGGUAUGAAAUUGAGCUCAGCUCAAUGUCCGACCACGGCAGAAGAUAUAGAAGAGAUGAGCGUCAUCCCCUAUGCCUCAGCCAUAGGUUCUAUUAUGUAUGCCAUGCUGUGUACCAGACCUGAUGUUAACCUUGCCGUCAGUUUGGUAGGAAGGUACCAAAGUAAUCCCAGCAAGGAACACUGGACAGCGGUCAAGAAUAUCCUGAAGUACCUGAAAAAGACUAAGGAAAUGUUUCUCGUUUAUGGAGGUGACGAAGAGCUCGUCGUAAAGGGUUACGUCGACGCUAGCUUCGACACAGAUCUGGAUGACUCUAAGUCACAAACCGGAUACGUGUAUAUUUUGAAUGGUGGGGCAGUAAGCUGGUGCAGUUGCAAGCAAAGCGUCAUGGCGGGAUCUACAUGUGAAGCGGAGUACAUGGCAGCCUCGAAGGCAGCACAUGAAGCAAUAUGGGUGAAGGAGUUCAUCACCGACCUAGGAGUCAUACCCAAUGCGUCGGGGCCGAUCAAGCUCUUCUGUGACAACACUGGAGCUAUUGCACUUGCCAAGGAGCCCAGGUUUCACAAGAAGACAAGGCACAUCAAGCGUCGCUUCAACUCCAUUCGUGAAAAUGUUCAAGAUGGAGACAUAGAGAUUUGUAAAGUACAUACGGACCUGAAUAUAGCAGAUCCGUUGACUAAACCUCUCCCUAGAGCAAAACAUGAUCAACACCAGAAUUCCAUGGGUGUUCGAUUCAUCACAAUGUAACUAGAUUAUUGACUCUAGUGCAAGUGGGAGACUGUUGGAAAUAUGCCCUAGAGGCAAUAAUAAAAGCAUUAUUAUUAUAUUUCCUUGUUCAUGAUAAUUGUCUUUAUUCAUGCUAUAAUUGUGUUAUCCGGAAAUCGUAAUACAUGUGUGAAUAAUAGACACCAACAUGUCCCUAGUGAGCCUCUAGUUGACUAGCUCGUUGAUCAACAAAUAGUCAUGGUUUCCUGACUAUGGACACUGGAUGUCAUUGAUAACGAGAUCACAUCAUUGGGAGAAUGAUGUGAUGGACAAGACCCAAUCCUAAACAUAGCACAAGAUCGUAUAGUUUGUUUGCUAGAGUUUUCCAGUGUCAAAGUAUCUUUUCCUUAGACCAUGAGAUCAUGUAACUCCCGGAUACCGUAGGAGUGCUUUGGGUAUGCCAAACGUCACAACGUAACUGGGUGACUAUAAAGGUAGACUACGGGUAUCUCCGAAAGUGUCUGUUGGGCGACAUGGAUCAAGACUGGGAUUUGUCACUCCGUAUGACGGAGAGGUAUCACUGGGCCCACUCGGUAAUGCAUCAUCAUAAUGAGCUCAGAGUGACCAAGUGUCUGGUCACGGGAUCAUGCAUUACGGUACGAGUAAAGUGACUUGCCGGUAACGAGAUUGAACGAGGUAUUGGGAUACCGACGAUCGAAUCUCGGGCAAGUAACAUACCGAUAGACAAAGGGAAUAGCGUACGGGAUUGAUUAAAUCCUCGACAUCGUGGUUCAUCCGAUGAGAUCAUCGUGGAGCAUGUGGGAGCCAACAUGGGUAUCCAGAUCCCGCUGUUGGUUAUUGACCGGAGAGUCGUCUCGGUCAUGUCUGCUUGUCUCCCGAACCCGUAGGGUCUACACACUUAAGGUUCGGUGACGCUAGGGUUAUGAAGAUAUGUACAUGCAGAAACCCGAAUGUUGUUCGGAGUCCCGGAUGAGAUCCGGACGUCACGAGGAGUUCCGGAAUGGUCCGGAGGUAAAGAAUUAUAUAUAGGAAGUGCUAUUUCGGGCAUCGGGACAAGUUUCGGGGUUAUCGGUAUUGUACCGGGACCACCGGAGGGGUCCCGUGGGCCCACCGGGUGGGGCCACCUGUCCCGGGGGGGCACAUGGGCUGUAGGGGGUGCGCCUUGGCCUAGAUGGGCCAAGGGCACCAGCCCCUAUAGGCCCAUGCGCCUAGGGUUUCCACCAUGGAAGAGUCCAUGUGGUGGAAGGCACCCCUAGGUGCCUUGGGGGGGAGGGAAACCUCCCCUUGGCCGCCGCUCCCCUAGUAGAUCUCAUCUACUAGGGCCGGCGCCCCCCCUUGGCACCCCUAUAUAUAGUGGGGGGGAGAGGAGGGAUUUCACACCAGCCCCUGGCGCCUCCAUCUCCCCCCGUUACGUCUCUCCCUCGUAGUCUCGGCGAAGCCCUGCUUCUGUGACGCCCUGCAUCCACCACCACUCCGUCGUGCUGCUGGAUCUUCAUCUACCUCUCCUUCCCCCUUGCUGGAUCAAGAAGGAGGAGACGUCUCCCGUCCCGUACGUGUGUUGAACGCGGAGGUGCCGUCCGUUCGGCGCUGGUCAUCGGUGAUUUGGAUCACGUCGAGUACGACUACAUCAUCACCGUUCUUUUGAACGCUUCCGCUCGCGAUCUACAAAGGUAUGUAGAUGCAUCUAAUCACUCGUUGCUAGAUGAACUCCUAGAUGAUCUUGGUGAAACAAGUAGGAAAAUGUUUGUUUUCUGCAACGUUCCCCAACAGUGGCAUAAUGAGCUAGGUCUAUGCGUAGUUCUUCUUGCGCGAGUAGAACACAAUUUGUUGUGGGCGUAGAUUUGUCAACUUUCUUGCUGUUACUAGUCCUUUCUUGCUUCAGCGGUAUUGUGGGAUGAAGCGGCCCGGACCAACCUUACACGUACGCUUACGUGAGACCGGUUCCACCGACUAACAUGCACUAGUUGCAUAAGGUGGCUGGCGGGUGUCUGUCUCUCCUACUUUAGUUGGAGCGGAAUCGAUGAACAGGGUCCUUAUGAAGGGUAAAUAGAAGUUGACAAAUCACGUUGUGGCUUUAACGUAGGUAAGAAAACGUUCUUGCUAGAACCCUAAUUCAGCCACGUAAAACUUGCAACAACAAUUAGAGGACGUCUAACUUGUUUUUGCAGCAAGUGGUUUGUGAUAUGAUAUGGCCAAAGUUGUGAUGAAUGAUGAAUGAUCUAUAUGUGAUGUAUGAGAUGUUCAUGCUAUUGUAAUAGGAUUCACGACUUGCAUGUCGAUGAGUAUGACAACCGGCAGGAGCCAUAGGAGUUGUCUUUAUUCUUUUAUAUGACCUGCGUGUCAUCGAGAAACGCCAUGUAAAUUACUUUACUUUAUUGCUAAACGCGUUAGCCACAGUAGUAGAAGUAAUAGUUGGCGAGCAACUUCAUGGAGACACGAUGAUGGAGAUCAUGAUGAUGGAGAUCAUGGUGUCAAGCCGGUGACAAGAUGAUCAUGGAGCCCCAAGAUGGAGAUCAAAGGAGCUAUGUGAUAUUGGCCAUAUCAUGUCACGUUUAUUAUUUAAUUGCAUGUGAUGUUUAUCAUGUUUUGCAUCUUGUUUACUUAGAACGACGGUAGUAAAUAAGGUGAUCCCUCAUACUAAUUUCAAGAAGUGUUCCCCCUAACUGUGCACCGUUGCGACAGUUCGCUAUUUCAAAACACCACGUGAUGAUCGGGUGUUUUAUUCAGACGUUCACAUACAGCGGGUGUAAGACAGAUUUACACAUGCAAACAUUUAGGUUGACUUGACGAGCCUAGCAUGUACAGACAUGGCCUCGGAACACAGAAGACCGAAAGGUCGAGCAUGAGUCGUAUAGAAGAUACGAUCAACAUGAAGAUGUUCACCGAUGUUGACUAGUCCGUCUCACAUGAUGAUCGGACACGGUCUAGUUUAACUCGGAUCAUGUAAUACUUAGAUGACUAGAGGGAUGUUUAAUCUAAGUGGGAGUUCACUAAUAAUUUGAUUGGUUGAACUUAAUUAUCAUGAACUUAGUCUAAAUAUUUUACAAUAUGUCUUGUAGAUCAAAUGGCCAACGUAGUCCUCAACUUCAACGCGUUCCAAGAGAAAACCAAGCUGAAAGAUGAUGGCAGCAACUAUACGGACUGGGUCCGGACCCUGAGGAUCAUCCUCAUAGCUGCCAAGAAAGAUUAUGUCCUACAAGCACCGCUUGGUGACGCACCCGUUCUCCCUGCAGAACAAGACGUUAUGAACGCUUGGCAGGCACGUUCCGAUGACUACUCCCUCGUUCAGUGCGGCAUGCUUUACAGCCUAGAGCCGGGGCUCCAAAAGCGUUUUGAGAGACAUGGAGCAUAUGAGAUGUUCGAAGAGCUGAAAAUGGUUUUCCAAGCUCAUGCUCGGGUUGAGAGAUAUGAAGUCUCCGACAAAUUCUUCAGCUGUAAGAUGGAGGAAAACAGUUCUGUCAGUGAGCACAUACUCACUAUGUCUGGGUUGCAUAACCGCUUGACUCAGCUGGGAGUUAAUCUCCCGGAUGAUGCGGUCAUUGACAGAAUCCUCCAGUCGCUUCCACCAAGCUACAAGAGCUUUGUGAUGAACUUCAAUAUGCAGGGGAUGGAAAAGACCAUUCCUGAAGUAUUUGCUAUGCUAAAAUCAGCAGAGGUAGAAGUCAGGAAGGAACAUCAAGUGUUGAUGGUCAAUAAAACCACUAAGUUCAAGAAAGGCAAGGGUAAAAAGAACUUCAAGAAGGACGGCAAGGAGGUUGCCGCGCCCGGCAAGCAAGCUGCCGGGAAGAAGCCAAAGAAUGGACCCAAGCCCGAGACUGAGUGCUUUUAUUGCAAGGGAAGCGGUCACUGGAAGCGGAACUGCCCUAAGUACUUAGCGGAUAAGAAGGCCGGCAAAACAAAAGGUAUAUGUGAUAUACAUGUGAUUGAUGUGUACCUUACUAGUGCCCGUAGUAGCUCCUGGGUAUUUGAUACCGGUGCAGUUGCUCACAUUUGUAACUCAAAGCAGGGGCUGCGGAAUAAGCGGAAACUGGCAAAGGACGAGGUGACGAUGCGCGUCGGGAAUGGUUCCAAGGUCAAUGUGAUCGCCGUCGGCACGCUACCUCUGCAUCUCCCUUCGGGAUUAGUUUUAAACCUUAAUAAUUGUUAUUUAGUGCCAGCUUUGAGCAUGAACAUUGUAUCGGGAUCUCGUUUAAUUCGAGAUGGCUACUCUUUUAAAUCUGAGAAUAAUGGUUGUUCCAUUUUUAUGAGAGAUAUGUUUUAUGGUCAUGCUCCUAUGGUGAAUGGUUUAUUCUUAAUGAAUCUCGAACGUGAUGCUACACAUGUUCAUAAUGUGAGUACCAAAAGAAGUAAGGUUGAUAAUGAUAGUCCCACAUACCUGUGGCACUGCCGCCUUGGUCACAUAGGUGUCAAACGCAUGAAGAAGCUCCAUGCUGAUGGACUUUUAGAGUCUCUUGAUUAUGAAUCAUUUGACACAUGCGAACCAUGCCUUAUGGGUAAAAUGACCAAGACUCCGUUCUCAGGAACAAUGGAGCGAGCAACCGACUUAUUGGAAAUCAUACAUACUGAUGUGUGCGGUCCAAUGAGUGUUGAGGCUCGCGGUGGCUAUCGUUAUGUUCUCACCCUCACUGAUGAUUUAAGUAGGUAUGGGUAUAUCUACUUAAUGAAACACAAGUCUGAAACCUUUGAAAAGUUCAAGGAAUUUCAGAGUGAGGUUGAAAAUCAACGUGACAGGAAAAUCAAGUUUCUACGAUCAGAUCGUGGAGGAGAAUACUUAAGUCACGAGUUUGGCACACACUUAAGAAAAUGUGGAAUAGUUUCACAACUCACGCCGCCUGGAACACCUCAGCGUAAUGGUGUGUCCGAACGUCGUAAUCACACUCUAUUAGAUAUGGUGCGAUCUAUGAUGUCUCUUACCGAUUUACCACUAUCUUUUUGGGGCUAUGCUUUAGAGACUGCCGCAUUCACUUUAAAUAGGGCUCCGUCGAAAUCUGUUGAGACGACACCGUAUGAAUUAUGGUUUAGGAAGAAACCUAAGCUGUCGUUUCUAAAAGUUUGGGGAUGUGAUGCUUAUGUCAAGAAACUUCAACCUGAAAAGCUCGAACCCAAGUCGGAAAAAUGCGUCUUCAUAGGAUACCCAAAAGAAACUAUUGGGUACACCUUCUACCUCAGAUCCGAAGGCAAGAUCUUUGUUGCCAAGAAUGGGUCCUUUCUGGAGAAAGAGUUUCUCUCGAAAGAAGUAAGUGGGAGGAAAGUAGAGCUUGAUGAAGUAUUACCUCUUGAACCGGAAAAUGGCGCAACUCAAGAAAAUGUUUCUGAGGUGCCAGCACCGACUAGAGAGGAAGUUAAUGAUAAUGAUCAAGAUACUUCUGAUCAAGCACCUACUGAAAUUCGAAGGUCCACAAGGACACGUUCCGCACCAGAGUGGUACGGCAACCCUGUCUUGGAAAUCAUGCUGUUAGACAACGGUGAACCUUCGAACUAUGAAGAAGCAAUGGCGGGCCCGGAUUCCGACAAAUGGCUAGAAGCCAUGAAAUCUGAGAUAGGAUCCAUGUAUGAAAACAAAGUAUGGACUUUGACUGACUUGCCCUUUGAGCGGCGAGCCAUAGAAAAUAAAUGGAUCUUUAAGAGGAAGACAGACGCGGAUGGUAAUGUGACCAUCUAUAAAGCUCGGCUUGUCGCUAAGGGUUAUCGACAAGUUCAAGGGGUUGACUACGAUGAGACUUUCUCACCGGUAGCGAAGCUGAAGUCCGUCCGAAUCAUGUUAGCAAUUGCCGCAUUCUAUGAUUACGAAAUAUGGCAAAUGGACGUCAAAACGGCAUUCCUUAAUGGUUUCCUUAAGGAAGAAUUGUAUAUGAUGCAGCCGGAAGGUUUUGUCGAUCCUAAGAAUGCUGACAAAGUGUGCAAGCUCCAACGCUCGAUUUAUGGGCUGGUGCAAGCAUCUCGGAGUUGGGGCAUUCGCUUUGAUGAGAUGAUCAAAGCGUUUGGGUUUACACAGACUUAUGGAGAAGCCUGCGUUUACAAGAAAGUGAGUGGGAGCUCUGUAGCAUUUCUCAUAUUAUAUGUAGAUGACACACUUUUGAUGGGAAAUGAUAUAGAACUCUUGGACAGCAUCAAGGCCUACUUGAAUAAAAGUUUUUCAAUGAAGGACCUUGGAGAAGCUGCUUAUAUAUUAGGCAUCAAAAUCUAUAGAGAUAGAUCGAGAUGCCUCAUAGGUCUUUCACAAAGCACAUGCCUUGAUAAGAUAUUGAAGAAGUUCAAUAUGGAUCAAUCCAAGAAGGGGUUCUUGCCUGUGUUACAAGGUAUGAAAUUGAGCUCAGCUCAAUGUCCGACCACGGCAGAAGAUAUAGAAGAGAUGAGCGUCAUCCCCUAUGCCUCAGCCAUAGGUUCUAUUAUGUAUGCCAUGCUAUGUACCAGACCUGAUGUUAACCUUGCCGUCAGUUUGGUAGGAAGGUACCAAAGUAAUCCCGGCAAGGAACACUGGACAGCGGUCAAGAAUAUCCUGAAGUACCUGAAAAGGACUAAGGAAAUGUUUCUCGUUUAUGGAGGUGACGAAGAGCUCGUCGUAAAGGGUUACGUCGACGCUAGCUUCGACACAGAUCUGGAUGACUCUAAGUCACAAACCGGAUACGUGUAUAUUUUGAAUGGUGGGGCAGUAAGCUGGUGCAGUUGCAAGCAAAGCGUCGUGGCGGGAUCUACAUGUGAAGCGGAGUACAUGGCAGCCUCGGAGGCAGCACAUGAAGCAAUAUGGGUGAAGGAGUUCAUCACCGACCUAGGAGUCAUACCCAAUGCGUCGGGGCCGAUCAAGCUCUUCUGUGACAACACUGGAGCUAUUGCACUUGCCAAGGAGCCCAGGUUUCACAAGAAGACAAGGCACAUCAAGCGUCGCUUCAACUCCAUUCGUGAAAAUGUUCAAGAUGGAGACAUAAAGAUUUGUAAAGUACAUACGGACCUGAAUAUAGCAGAUCCGUUGACUAAACCUCUCCCUAGAGCAAAACAUGAUCAACACCAGAAUUCCAUGGGUGUUCGAUUCAUCACAAUGUAACUAGAUUAUUGACUCUAGUGCAAGUGGGAGACUGUUGGAAAUAUGCCCUAGAGGCAAUAAUAAAAGCAUUAUUAUUAUAUUUCCUUGUUCAUGAUAAUUGUCUUUAUUCAUGCUAUAAUUGUGUUAUCCGGAAAUCGUAAUACAUGUGUGAAUAAUAGACACCAACAUGUCCCUAGUGAGCCUCUAGUUGACUAGCUCGUUGAUCAACAGAUAGUCAUGGUUUCCUGACUAUGGACACUGGAUGUCAUUGAUAACGAGAUCACAUCAUUGGGAGAAUGAUGUGAUGGACAAGACCCAAUCCUAAACAUAGCACAAGAUCGUAUAGUUCGUUUGCUAGAGUUUUCCAAUGUCAAAGUAUCUUUUCCUUAGACCAUGAGAUCAUGUAACUCCCGGAUACCGUAGGAGUGCUUUGGGUAUGCCAAACGUCACAACGUAACUGGGUGACUAUAAAGGUAGACUACGGGUAUCUCCGAAAGUGUCUGUUGGGUGACAUGGAUCAAGACUGGGAUUUGUCACUCCGUAUGACGGAGAGGUAUCACUGGGCCCACUCGGUAAUGCAUCAUCAUAAUGAGCUCAGAGUGACCAAGUGUCUGGUCAAGGGAUCAUGCAUUACGGUACGAGUAAAGUGACUUGCCGGUAACGAGAUUGAACGAGGUAUUGGGAUACCGACGAUCGAAUCUCGGGCAAGUAACAUACCGAUAGACAAAGGGAAUAGCGUACGGGAUUGAUUAAAUCCUCGACAUCGUGGUUCAUCCGAUGAGAUCAUCGUGGAGCAUGUGGGAGCCAACAUGGGUAUCCAGAUCCCGCUGUUGGUUAUUGACCGGAGAGUCGUCUCGGUCAUGUCUGCUUGUCUCCCGAACCCGUAGGGUCUACACACUUAAGGUUCGGUGACGCUAGGGUUAUGAAGAUAUGUACAUGCAGAAACCCGAAUGUUGUUCGGAGUCCCGGGUGAGAUCCGGACGUCACGAGGAGUUCCGGAAUGGUCCGGAGGUAAAGAAUUAUAUAUAGGAAGUGCUAUUUCGGGCAUCGGGACAAGUUUCGGGGUUAUCGGUAUUGUACCGGGACCACCGGAGGGGUCCCGUGGGCCCACCGGGUAGGGCCACCUGUCCCGGGGGGCCACAUGGGCUGUAGGGGGUGCGCCUUGGCCUAGAUGGGCCAAGGGCACCAGCCCCUAUAGGCCCAUGCGCCUAGGGUUUCCACCAUGGAAGAGUCCAUGUGGUGGAAGGCACCCCUAGGUGCCUUGGGAGGGAGGGAAACCUCCCCUUGGCCGCCGCCCCCCCUAGUAGUUCUCAUCUACUAGGGCCGGCGCCCCCCCCCUUGGCACCCCUAUAUAUAGUGGGGGGGAGAGGAGGGAUUUCACACCAGCCCCUGGCGCCUCCAUCUCCCCCCGUUACGUCUCUCCCUCGUAGUCUCGGCGAAGCCCUGCUUCUGUGACGCCCUGCAUCCACCACCACUCCGUCGUGCUGCUGGAUCUUCAUCUACCUCUCCUUCCCCCUUGCUGGAUCAAGAAGGAGGAGACGUCUCCCGUCCCGUACGUGUGUUGAACGCGGAGGUGCCGUCCGUUCGGCGCUGGUCAUCGGUGAUUUGGAUCACGUCGAGUACGACUACAUCAUCACCGUUCUUUUGAACGCUUCCGCUCGCGAUCUACAAAGGUAUGUAGAUGCAUCUAAUCACUCGUUGCUAGAUGAACUCCUAGAUGAUCUUGGUGAAACGAGUAGGAAAAUUUUUGUUUUCUGCAACGUUCCCCAACAUGAGUGUCAAAACGGUCAUUAUUUUUCUCUUCCUGAUACCUAAGGAUAUUAAAGUAUGAGGAUAUUAAAUGUGCCAUGCUAGAUCACAUUUUAAACAUUUUUGAGGCAGUUCUAGGCUUCUAUUAUGGCUUAACUAGUUUUUUUCCAAUACUUUUGGUUUCUUGUGUACUUGAAAAGCAUUGAUUUUGUUUGUUUUCCAGUGCUGGUUACGAAACAUGGGAUGACAUAAUCAGAGCUCAGCAACUCGACGAGACGGUGUCAUUGCCAGCAGGGGACUUAGUUCUCCCACGCCCGGGCCGCUCGGCCAUGCAAGUUACAGUGCUGGUGAAGUUCUUGGCAGAGCAUAUGCAAUUUCAAGCUAGGAAAGUGCUGAUUCAGCUGUGCAGAAAACAUUAUAGUGGGACUUCCUACGGAGGUAACAUCACUUCUAAGAAUAUCCUCUUUGACCCCGACGGGAAUGUGCACAUUGAUUCUGCCCCAGAAACAUUUAGUGAACAUUCUGCUAAAUCAGACUAUGGUGCAAUUGGCAGAAUACUUGAGGAUUCUUUCAAAGAUCACGUCAAAAAUUGCUACCCGAUGCAUUUCCAACAAUUGGUUUACUUCCUAAGAUAUGGUCCUGUUGUGGACUACCGAAGUGAGUCCGUCAUUGCAUGGGUGACGAAUCACCCGUCGUUGUUGUCUCAUUUUGAGAGGACACAUAUCAGUGAAGGUUUGGUUCAGCUGAUUGAUCGACUUGAUCCAGCCGUCGUGACCGUCUUGCUAGCUAAUCUUGAUCAGAUUGUGUGGGGGCAUAUCGUGAAGAAAAUUCCAGCAAUGAAGCAUACUUAUCUUUUCCAUUCGUGGCGCAAUAGAGCUGGGAAGCUUUGUGUUCCGUAUGUGGACAAUGGGGUUAGCUUUCUGAGGUUCUCCAACAACUUUUUCAAACAUCAUAAGGUAAGAUUCGUGUUUAAUCAUCUUCCUGCUCUCUGUGUACAGUACAUACAGUCUGCCUUGUAUAUAUAUUUUUAUGGCACCUAAGUAUGAUACAAACUAGUUUUGAUUGAUGCAGUGGGCCUCUAUAGAGCAGCUUGAUGCGGCCUUCUCGCUGGUGAUGGAGACUAGAAAUUUCAUACCUCGAUUCCUGUUUACCAUUCUUGUGACUUUGAAAAACUCAAAGAAUCAAUAUCCUGCACUGAUACAGUCCUUUAUUGACCAAGUGGUUAGGAUGUGAGUUACUAUGAACUUGGUGGUUUAUACUAAUUUUUGUGUAAGCAAUCUUGGAAGUUGACUGAUGCAUGUACCUCGUACCAUUGAUUAUUUGCAUGCUAGGGAACAACGUGAUUGACAUCAAGAGUCGUCGGUGACCUGGGAACGGAAGCUGUUUGACUGCUGUCAGACAAAGUGCUGUUAAGAUUGUCUGUCUAAUCAUGAGUCGUGUAAUGCCUGUCUGUCUUGUAACCCUGGCCGAGUGUGCCUAACAUGAAGUGAAGAAGUAGAAAUAAUUUGUACUACUUGAGGAGUUGUUGGAUAUAAGUAGCCUGAUACACAAACUCCAGGAUUCUUCAGUUGUUAUAUCAGCCACGAUCGAGUUUGUUUGUUUGUUUGUUUUUGUUUUAUGUUAUAUAGGUCGAUACAUGUGCCGUCCUUGUGCUGGGCACGCGCGCACAAGGCUAGUCGAUGCGUGGUGUGGCUUUGGUUGAGUCCUCUUAUGAGUAUAUGUAUAUAUAUGUGGACAUGCCUGCAAAUUCACGAUUAAGUGAAAGUUGCUGCAUUUUUUCCUUUCAUACUUUCAGUUUGAAAACAAAUUGUUUUUUUUUGACAACUAAAGUUCCCUCUUCUCUUUAUUCAUUGGUGAUAACACUUACUCCCUCCAUAAAGAAAUAUAAGAGUGUUUAGAACACUAAAAUAGUGAUCUAAAUGCUCUUAUAUUUCUUUACAGAGGGAAUACAUCUUUAAGUAAAAGAGGAAGAAGCUCAUUAGGAGCCAUUUCAAUCCACUCACUGCAGAAUUUAGAUCUAGCUACACUAGCUAAUUCAUGAGCAACAACGUUUGCUUCUCUAGGACAUAAUUCAAACCGAAUUGAACUAAACUCACAUGCCAAGUGGUAACAAUCAUCAACUAGUUCUAGGCUGUCGGAAUUAACGACAAGCCUGUUACACCCUGCCGACGAAGAGAGUUUGAAAACAACUUGUUUCAUUUGACCUUUUUCCUUUUAAGAAAAGGCAUGCUCAAAAUUCAGGCAAGAAUCUAUCAGCGGUGGGGCCUUGGGUAGAGGACAUCAAAUCUGUCAACGAAUUAGCAGAGUUUAAAGUCUCGCAGGUAUGACGUUCUGCUAAUAUUAUCGUGCAUAAGUUAGCUAGAGUAGGAGUUGGUGACGAAAGGUGCCAAGUGGGGCAUGGGGUUCGUACAGAUUGCAUUCUAGGUGUUAAAUUAUAUUCCAAACUAUGUUGGUUAAAUAAAAUGUUUUUUUUCUCUCUUUCUCCCUUCGCCUUCUUUGUAAAUACUCUCUGUUAAACCAAAAUUCAAUAAAAUGAGUUCAGACCGUCUUUGCCCGCCGUAGUUCUCUCUCUCUCUCUCUCUCUCUCUCUCUCUCUCUCUCUCUAUAUAUAUAUAUAUAUAUAUAUAUAUAUAUAUAUAUAUAUAUAUAUAUAUAUAUAUAUAUAUAUAAGAAGGCAUGCUCAACAAAUUACAACCACCAAAACCAUUCUGGUCGUUUCUUCCUUAAAUUGCAUGCUGCCCGUAUGUCGAAACUCAAAAAUGAACAAGAGAUACAUGCACGGGCGGCUCACCAUAUACCAGUUUAACAAUGCUUCAUCCCUAGUUCAAAUGGUCCAUGCCUUGCCACCAAAGGAAUACUCCCUCUGUCCAGAAAUACUUGUCCGCGAAGUGGAUGUAUCUAGACUUAUUUUAGUUCUAGAUACGUCCAUUUCUAUCCAUUUAUGCAACAAGUAAUUCCGGACGGAGGGAGUAUAACAAAGGGGGCACCAAGACCCAAUCCGUCAGGUCUAGCAACACAGAAGUUUACAAAUCAAGUGCUUUUAAAAUCGGGAAUGUAUCUUCUUUUGGGCAAGCAAACAGCAGAGCAAGGAGGCAUCAAUUAGUUCCAAACAUCUAAUAUUGCACUUUUAAAUCAACCAGACGUAAAACAAACCAGUAGGAUUUUUCCUGCAGGAAAAUGACAAUGAUGCAUGUAGCCAGAAUCAACACAAUCUCAACAAUAAACAUGCCAUUACCAGUUAUUACAAAUCUAAAACAAGCCACUCAGGAGACAUAAAGCCAUGAGUAAAAACACAAAGUACCCACCAUUCAGUUUAUAACUACUAACAUC
rnacentral:lncRNA from 1 species